CUUUACCCUCUUCACUUCCCAUUACCUUCUUGCAAUUGUAAAUCCUCUCAUGACAAUGAGAGGCUAAAUUCUUCCAUUGUUGGGAGCCUAGCAACCAAACCUCUUGAUGUAAUUUUUCCUACUAUCUACUUAAUAUUAUUUAUAUUUUAUUGUCUCUUUUCUAUGCUUAAUCUUAUUAAUUGUGGCUUAAUUACCCAUAUUCAUGUAUAUGUUUUAAGAUUUAUGUAUUGAGAAAUGUUUAUUUCCUAAGAACUGAAAAAGGACAUCUAAAUAAUUCAUAUCUAGAAAUAAAAUGACAUUGUUUGGUCUAUUUUAUGCAUCUAUGUUUAUAAUGCAAUUUAACUAGCUUAUUCUUUUAAGGGAUUAGGAGAAAGAUUGGGUAAAUUAGGUUUUUUUACUCGAGGAAUUAUGAUUAGAGUAUAUGAUAUGAAUAUAUGUAGGUGAUAAUUAGAAUAAUAUUAAAUAGAGAAAGAUCAUUAGUUUUGAUAGACUAGGCUCCAACAUAUCCACAAUCAACAAAGAAUUUGUUUUUCUUCUCUUGCAUAUUUUAAAUAAUUAGUUUAAUUUUAUGUCCUUUUCACAAAUCUUUAAGUCAAUUCAUUAAUUGCUUAAAAAUUGAGUGUACACUAAUCUAAAUAUAAAUAAAGUUCUUAUAGAUUUGACAGUACAUUUCCAUUUUACUUUACUCCUUAAAAUAAUUUGAUGUCCUUGGGAAUGAGUUAACAUGGAAACUCCAAACCUUUGAGACUUUCUUUAACCAUAAUAAAGGCACACUAAGCUUGUGUUUGGAAGCGUGUUGGCAACGUAAGUAUAUAUAAUAUAUGCAAAACCACCUCAAUUUGAGAGAAAAACGCGUAAGCUACUCUUGGUAGCAUAAUCUACCUGGACACAUAUCAGGUCUCAAACGAGAAUCUAAACGCACUGUAAGGCUGUUUGUUUAUUUGUUUAACCAAGGAGACAAGACAUGUUAAAUAAAACAAAGAAAAUCUAUCAUCAGUGAAGUAGUUUUGAGACUCAUACAAAUUGACACUGAUAUCCGAGUCUGUUCAGCUUAAAAAUGGGUUUGUGAAAUCUUGUGCUUAUAUUUCCUGUUCCCAUAGCGCAUCCUUUCAGCAAAAGAGCUGAAAUGGUUAUCUAUUAAUAUCACAUGCGUGAGUCGAAAAAAAGUUUCAUGGGAUUUUCAUUUUAUGGUUCCAGUUUCACAACUCAUCAAAUGUGUAGAUGAAGAAGCAAAACGGCAUAAUGACAGAGGCUUGUCUCUACUACGGAUUUACCUUGUUCCUUGUUUUGUUUCUAUGCCAACUAUGGUCCCUGAUUUUGGCUUUGCUGGUGGGGAACCACUUCAAAGGAUUUCAUCUUUGGAGUUCUAAUAGAGAUUUUGCACCCCAUAUGUAUUGUUAAAGCUCAUUGGUGUCCUAUGACUUUUCUUGAUGCUCCUGCAACAGUGCUUCAACCAAUGAAAAUUUUGUUAGACUUUUGCUUCUGCGAUCCAAUUAUCCAUUGCAUUAUAUUACUCUCUUUAUUUGAUCUAAUUUUAUGAGCCCUAUGGCAUGUUUAGGUCUCUAGGACCAUACCUUUUUUGGUCUGAAGUUCAUCCUCUUGCCUCAGUUUGUGACAUAAUUAACCAAGUUGGAGUGCUGACACCAGCAUUUGCAGUUCUUCAUAAAGGCUGGGAAUCAUUAUUCCUCUGUGAAUUCUGAUCCAACUAUUUCUAGAAAUGAUUGUUUAUAACUCAACUUAGAGAAUGUUUGCAUUAUCCCACACAAAAUCACAAUGUAGGGUUGACAGGUAAUCUGUAAAAUGUUUCUUUGUGCUAUUUAACAAUCAUAUAUAGGAACUCUAUCAGUGGGUUGAUAAUGUUAACUUUCAUCUAAAUAAAUUGGAAGUUGAAUUCAUGUUUUUUAUUGACAAAUUAAUGGCAGGGAGAAAGGAAUUGAACCCAUUAUAUUUUCCAUUAGUGAGGUCACGGAAAGAUUAAAUUAGUUACUUUGAAUGAAUUAGUUGAAUUACUCAAAAACCAGAAAGUUAAUUUCACGCAUAUGAAAAUUGACACUUCUAGUCUGGGGUGAGUGAUUCAAGACUAAAUUGAAGUUUUAAAUAGAAGAAAAAACUAAUUUGAAAUUAGAAUUGAGAUGAUAUAACUUUUUGGGAUAUACAAAUUUAAACACAAUAAUCUUUUGGUGUUGGCAGGUUACUCCUAGAUCAAAUGUUUUUUGCUAUAUGGAAGUACAAAAUCACCAUAAAAGGCCAAAUGAAUGUCUCAUCUUCCUGAACUACGUACUCUCUUUCUCUCUCUCUUUCAAUAAGUCUUGAGAUAUUUGAACAUGUGAGGGCCUGCUUCACUCCAGUACAAAUUUUGAUUGAUUGAAAUUUUAAAGGAUUUGACGUUUGAUGCUAUCAAAUUUUAUAUUUUAAACUAGUUUAAAAUAUUUUUCCAACUCAAAGUAGAAAGGAAAAUGAUGGCUGCACACCCACAUAUUACUUGAGAUCUAGAGAAAUAAAAUAAAAAAUGUAUAACCAAAAGUGAUAUCAUCUCAUAUCAUAACUGUUCCAAGAGUGAUACUACCACCUUCUCAUAAGUCAUAACUGUUGAUCUUUAAUGCUAAUGCACAUUGAUUACUACUUUAUACUUAGCAAACGAAGUUGCAGUCAACCAUUGUUACUGGGUUCCACCUUUGGUUACAUGUGAUAAUAUUCAUGAUACCAGUCUAAAAUUCAUUAUGAUUUUCUCGGCAGCACCAAGAAAGUUCCAUAAUUAAAACUCGUGUGUCAGUUGGCACUUGGCAAUUGGCAUGCAUAUAUGGCUUUUUUUAUUGGGUCGACGUCAUCUAUAUGGCUAAUUUAAGAUAAUGUAAGCGCACAAAUGUACUUUGGGUCCCUCGAUGCCCAACAAUAGGCCUGUAGGCCAAUGGGUUCAGUUUCAUUGGGCUUCGUCUUCAUCUCUCAAUCCCAACUCUGUCAUGAUGUCUAUUUCCCCAUGAAUCAUUACAUAAACAUUUUUAUAUACUACUUAUCAAGAAAUAUUUAUUAUUUUUUUCGAAACUAACGAUCAUUCUUCUUAAAAGUGGGCAAGUUUCUCUUUGAAAAGACUAAUGGGCAUUCUUGUUUCUUCCGAAUAUUAUUUUGUGACUUGUCUGGUAAUAAUACAUAACAUAUAUAAAUCCAUCUGGCAUUGUUGUAAAAUUAUAAACAAAAAAACAGUGGUUUGACAGGAUUUGUAAUUGUAAUAUAAACCCUCAUCAAUAUUUUGGGCAGAAGCAACAAGGAAUUUGUUGGGCUUGAAAAUUUAAGCCCACGUCAAAAUUUUGGGCAGAACCAACAAGCCGAAUCUCAAUUUUUAUUUAUUUUAACGGGGAAUGCUAAUUUUAGUUCACAAAAUCCAGAUCGCGGCACAAGGGUGAUCGGGGACAUGCUAAUUCCAUAGUAAGUAUAUAAGUUAGUUUGAUUCUCUAAAGGUUACAAAGUUUAUAUAGUGAAACAUUGAUGCUAUUUCUUAAUAGAAAUAAUAUAGAAAAUUUUAAAAACAACACAUGAGAAGUAAUUUAAUCUAUAAUUAUUUCUAUUAAGAAAUAAAAUUAAUUUUAAAACAACACAUGAAGUAAUUUAAUUUAUGAUUAUUUAUGUAAUUAAUUUCUAUAAAUUAUACAUUUUUUAAUUUAUGUGAAAAGAAACCCUUAAAGAAAUAAAAUAUUAGUAAGUAAACUUCCAUCAAUUGCAAUCGCUGAAAUAUUGAAGAAAUGCGAGGAAGUGGACGAAAGCGCAAAAAAAAAAAAAAAAAGUAAACUUACGAUUCUUUGAUAUCAGCAAAACAGAGAAGAAAGAUUUUUAAGAAAAUUUGGUUUUCAUGUGUACAAAUUUCUACUCUCAUGAGUGAAGAAAGACGUGGAAAUGGAAAGCUUUAUCAAAGCAAUUCGCUUUUUUUUUUUUUUAACACAUAAUUAACUAAUAACUAUGCCAUGUAUAUACAUAAUCAAUUUUUUAUUUUGACUUCGUGCAUACAUAAUCAAUAUAUUAUGCUCAGCACAAUCGAUCAUGCGUGUAUAUACAUAAUCUUAUUCUCUUUAUUUCUCUUAAAUCAACCAAGCAACAUUUUCACUUAUUUCUAUUUUAUUCUUUUCUCACCUACUUAUUUCCAUUCUCUUUAUUCUCUCCGCACACCCUUAAAUAACUUACAGUACUUCUAUGUAACAGUAGUUAACAAAACCGAAUUUUUAUGUAUCCGCAGACCGCAGUCAUUGCAUGCCAUGAAUGCACCUUGUAAUCUUUCAUUUCCCAUGUGAUAUCGGGUCAACAGCAUGCACAGUUCACAUUACCAAAUGAGUGAAAUGACAUAAUGAUGACACAAUUGUUUUUAUUUUGGAGCCAUCAUUCUAUGUCAAAAGAGUCAUAUAUACCAGAAUUCAAGGCCACGGGCGUAAAUGCUUCAAUUCAAAUAUAAAGAACCCAAUAGCCAUUAUAAGUGCUGCAUGGUAAUCAGAUGCAAGUCCCGAAUAAGAUGACCUACAUGUUGUGGUACAAAUCAAUAAGAAAAGAAAUAUGCAACCGGUAAGAUUGAUUUGAUACUUGAACUUAAUUUGUGAUCGUCCUGCAACCGUCGCUCUGAAGCUUGCGCUGAUCACUUGCCGCAUCUGGUAGGUGAAAUUACAGAAAAUUCCUAAGAAAACUGAAAGAGCAUAAAACCAUACAUAAUACAAUGAUAUGAUAUGAAUAGAUAGAGUAGCAAUCACUGGGUCUUCCUAAGUUAUAAGACUAAGCUUCUCUCAGGUUUAAGAAGUGUAGGGUUCCCUGUGGUAUCCUCGGCAUUGUAAUUCCUAUUGGAUAAUUAGAGAGUCAAGUCCUGAUGUUUUCUUCUUUGACCCUACUCUUUAAAUAUUCUUAUUUUUUUUUAUAUGGGUCAAAGAUCAUCCAUGUUAUCCAACUCAUGAGAUCAUAAACUAAUUGUUUUUGAGUUGUAUUAUUGCUUCAAGGAAAUUUUAAAAAAAAAAAAAUCAAACACAAAUUUUUUCACUAAAUAUAAUAUAUCAUUUUUCUUACAGGUAAAAAUAGUAAAAUAUACACUUUCUCUUAUCAUUAUUACACAUGUAACCUUUAACAAUAUUUUUUUUUUGUCUAACACUUAAUAAAAAUAUUAGUAAAAACUUGUAACAAUAUUUAAAAAAUAUCAACAAAUACAAAUAAAUGUUAUUAACAUGUUUUCAUGAUAUUUUAUCAAAUGUUGUGUACUAGCGACAUGAAUUAUACACAACAUUUGAUAAAAUAUCCCAGAAAAUGUUAGUAACAUUUAUUUGUAUUUUGUGACUUUUUUUAAAUGUUAUUAAAAGCUUUUAUUCAUAUUUGUUGAUACUUUUUUAAUGUUAUUAAAAUAUUUGUAAUAUUUUUACUAAAUAUUAAAUAAAAAAUGUUACUAAAGAUCACAUGUGUAAUAGUAUAUAUUUGCUUUGUUGAAUUCUAUUUUUUGCUGUUAGUUAAUUUCUUUUCUGCUAAAGUUAGUUAGUUAGUUUUUUAGUUUUCUAUUAUAGACACACUCAGCUCUAUACAAGCUGAGUUCUCUUUGUAUUUGAUGCAUUUUAAUUGAUAAUGAGAAAUGAUGAGCACAAUGCUCUUUCUCUUCCAAAUUUAUAUUUUCUACAUGAUAUCUUUAACUGGAUUCAGUGACUCUGAUUAAGGAGCUUGUUUUGACACUCAAAGAUCCAUCACAGACAUAUGUUUCUUCUUAGGAACCUCACUAAUUUCUUGAAAGAGUAAGAAACAAUCCAUUGUGUCCAAGUCAUCCUCGGAAGCUGAAUAUUGGACUCUUGCUCAAGCAUCUUGUGAAGCACAAUGGUUAUUGUUCUUACUAAAGGAUCUUCAUAUUGAGCAUAGUUGUUUUCUACUGUGACAAUCAAGCUGUCCUGCACAUAGCCGCAAAUCCUAUUUUCCAUGAACAAACUAAGCAUAUUGAAAUCGAUUGUCAUGUGAUAAGAGACAAGGUUCAAUUUGGUUUGAUUCACCUUUUUCCCAUCUCCACUCAUAAGCAAUUGGCAAGACACUCUCACCAAACCUUUAGAUGCUCGUCCCUUCAAUCAUAUUCAUUCCAAGCUAGAAAUGCUUGACAUUCACAUUCCAGUUUGAGGGAGUGUUGAAUUAUGUUUUUUGUUCUGUUAGUUAAUUUCUUUUCUGUUAAAGUUAAUUAGUUAAUUUUUCUGUUUUUUGUUAGUUAGUUUUUUAUUAUAGACAAAGUCGGCUCUAUAUAAGCUGAAUUCUUUUUGUAUGUGGUACAUUUUGAUUGAUAAUGAGUUCUCUUUUAAAUCUAUUUUUCCCUUCCAAAUUUAUAUUUUCUACAUGCUUUAUUAAAAUAAAUUUAAUUAGGAUGUCGGAAUUUUUUUUGGCAAAAAGUUUUCUAAAUUUUUGUACAAAUUAGUUGUAGAAACAAUAUUACUGUUUCAUUUUCUUAUACAAUUCGAGCUUUGCUGUGAUAUUUUUGUUAAUAGUUAAUGGUGCAGUCAUUAAAAUCCUUCCGGGAGAGCCAGCUAGCUGCCCAUGAAAAGCGUCGUAAGAUCGAGUAAAACUUGGGCUUUGCUAUUGUUAAAGGAUACAUGGUGUCCUAUAGCUGGGGCUCAUUAUAUUAUUCAUUUAAUAGUACACAAUUGUAAUCGCAAUAUCAUUAAAAUAUGGGGGAAAACCGAUUUAAUAGUACACAGUUGUUGGUCGAGAUAGUAAAGUUGGAUGCGAAGUGAAAAUCAGGCUAUAUCAUAGACGAGAUCAUUAAAAUGCAACUGAGCCAAAUACAACCUAUGUUACCUAACCCCUGCUACGAAAUUCAUAAAAUAAUUAUCAUGCCUGUAUAUUAAUCUCUUGCGAGCUAGAACUAGUUUUUGAAAAACGUGUAAUUCUUGUUUUUUCUAAUACAGGGGCGGAUAAAAAAAAUACGAGCAAACGGUGGAAAAUAAUUAAAUUCUACUAGUAAUAUAUAUUAUAAAAUAGCGAUAUUAACAGAAAAAGGUUAAAAUAUUAAUUAGACUUAUUACUUCUGUUUGUCAGUGUAAGUAACUAGUAUUAGUUUAAUAAUUUCAACAAUUAAUUAUAGGUUUAUAGUAAUUGUACAAUACUAGUACAUUAGAAUAAAACUGUAAUAUUUAUAUAUACUAAUAAUUUAACUUAUGUUAAAUAAAGAGUAUGCUGGUUUUUUUUGACAGACAAAGAGUAUACUGAUAAAAAUAAGUAAUACCUAAUUGUUAGUACAUAUUGUUUUUAGUAAUACAUGAUUAAAUUGAUAAAUUAUGUAAUUUUAAAAUAUUUUUUAGGGGAACCCACCCUUUGAAUUGUUCUAUUUGUUUAUAUAAAUUCUAUAUACUUAUUAGUAACAACAUUAUAACAAUAACAACAAUUUUUUUUCAUUAAAAAGAGUCACUUGCAUCAUAAAACAACAUUAAUGUUCCACUCUAAAUUAAUUACUAUAUAUGUAGACAAAUUAUUGAUGUUUAGACCAUUUUUAAUGAUUUUAAUAUGUAGAUUGUUUAGUUUAUAUUCUUUUACAAACUGAAUUAAUUGACAAAUCUGUUUGGUAAUAGUAAUUGGUCAUAUCUAAAGGUUUAAGUAAGCUAAUUAUAUUUGAGUCAUUUUUGUUUGUAAUAGUAGUUUUAAAUUAUUUUUAUAUGAUUACAUCACUUUUGGCUACGUGGGUAAUUAAGAUAAGAUAAACAAGAUUUAUUGACUUAGUAUACAAGAAUACUGAGAAAAAACAAAAAAUAACGUGGCUAGCUAGCAUAGAUGCAAUGCAGCAAAAGGUAGUUUGUAAAGAAGGAGAUAGAUUUUGCCUUGAAAUAAUAUAAAAAAAUUUCUUUAAAGACUAUUUAAUCAAAUUAGAGGAAUUGGCUUUGCUGAAUAUGAUAUAUGAUUUAUGGUAGGUGAAUAUGUGUUGGUUAGUCUCCCUUUCUCUCUCUGAUAUAAGGUACAAAAUAUUAUCAAAUGUGAUUAUUUUAAUUUGAUUAAAAAUUUAAAAUUUAAGUCUGAAUAGAUAAUUAUUAAAUAUUUAAACGAAAAAUUUUACAUAAGAUUGUCUCACAUCACAUGAAAGAUAAUUAUGAUUAAUAAUUAAGGUACAAAAUUUACAUCCAAAUAUGACGCAAUCACACUUAAUGUUUUCCUGAGAGAACCUAAAGAAACCAUAGCUUGCGCACUUUUCUGUAGAUAACCAAACAUGCAGAAACCGUACAACCACUACCACCUCAUGUUGUGUCAUCUUUGUACAAAUUCUCUCUCCUCUUCUCCUCCCCCUGGCCCUAGAUCUCUGAUUCUCACUCUCUCGAGGUUUUCAUAAUCAUGACUUUGCUUUUCAAAGCAAUCAUUCUCUCUAAUCUAUAUCCAUUCCCUACUCUCUCAAGGUUAUAUUAACCGUAUGCGUCUGCAUUGUUCUUUCAAUCAGCGUCUUCAGAAAUUUUAAUGAAUACAUUAUACAUAUACCUGCUUUCUCAUUGGGAUAACUGUAUUUAUAUAAUUAUGAAAUUUUUGUGUAAUAAGAAAACACAGCCGGAUAGAAAAAGAAAAAUAUGUAGCAAGAUUAAUUACGUCAUUAAAAAGAUAAAAGGAAAAGAGAUAAUUAAAAAUAUUAAAAUGAUAAUAUAACUCUUCUGAGUUCUCAAUGGUUAUGACUUAUGAUCGUGUGCUAUAAUUAUAAUUUUAUGUGGGCAAAUUGGUCAAGUUUAUAAGCUUCUUCUCUAUUCAAGUUGUAACCGGAGGAGUACACACACUACAGUGCUUCACUUUUUUGUGCAUGACACAUAUUUCCUAAUCAUUUCUCUGAUCAUCAUGUUUCCCUCCUGGCCGGUAUGUUAUUUGUGUCCUUCGCCAUUUGUCAACACGAGCUUCUUUCUUUUUGUUUCAUAGUUAGUCACUGCAAAAGACUUGCACUAUUCCAUGUUUUUUUGCAUGCAUGAUAUAUACCUUUCCAUGGCAUUUCUGUAAUAGCAUUUUUUUCUCCUGUUAUAAGGUGCAUGGUUCUCUUCCUGUUCGAGUGUGAUCUUCAUUCUAUAUUGGGUGAUUAAAGAGGAAACAACCAUAAAGAAAAGAAAACCCCUUAGUGAAUCCCUUUUGCCACUAAGCAAUUAUAUUGUUAGAAAAAGAUUUUCUGAUAUUCAGUAGAAGCAAUUCUCUCUUGGACUAUGUCACUUUGUGUAAUCAAUAUCCACCAUAGCAAAAUUGCGUGUCUUGAUCUCUUUUUCUGGGUUUUCUAGAAUUUCUGAUGGAAAAUCGUAUCUCCUGAUUGUAACAUUAUAUAAUUUAUUUAUUCUUUUUGAAAUUUAGUCACUUAUCCUGAAUGCUGUAACCGUGGCCUCCGGUGCUGGCAACUUUACUACUCCAAAUGAAUUGGAACCGCAUCUUCAUGGUAAGUCCCAUCUUAAAUCUUUCUUCGUUUCACUGUGAUGUCUAUAUAUUCUUUGAUUUGUUCUAUAUUCAUAAAGAAUACUGCCUAUAUAGUACUAUAUAUCUCUGUGAUUCAUUCGAAAUUAGGAGACUGUUGACUUAAUUAGUCUCACCCUUUCAAUUUCCGUCUAUCACUUGAGUUAAUAUCUCCUAUUUUCUUUGUUUGAAUUAAUAUUAAAAACCCCAAACUUUUCUAGAAUCUUAAUUAGUCUCACCCUCUAUUUUUUAGUUGGGUACAACUCUAUUGUUAUUUUGAUUUUGCUUUAGUAGUUCUUUUAAAUGAGAAUUUCCAAAUCAUAAAUGUAAAGAGCAGCAAGCAUAAAAGUAGAAGCAUGAAUAGAAAAUACUAAUCAAACCGAUUUCAAAUCGAAAACACAGUUUGCAUGGCCCGUGCCCAUUGGCAAAUACCAUUCAGUUGUAGUACUAGUUCAUUUUGUUAAGUGGCCUCCUGCCAAGAAAACAGAAAAUGAAAACUAAUAUAUGUCACUCUCUGCUGUGACACCAAUAGUUUGAUAAAGAAAUGGAGGCACUAAUUAAGUUUCCUGUUGCCUUGAUAUAAACAUGAAAUUUUUUUAUGCAAACAGUUUGAAUAAAUUACUUAACCACUACUCAUAAUAAAAUAAAAAACUAGAAAAAAAAUCUUGUACAAAAUAAAAAUAACUUGCACAAGUUUUUAAUAACUCUUUCAUUCGUUUCCUGCAUAAAAUGUUAUAUUUUAGCCCUUAAAAUAAAUAUCAACAAAUCAAUUCCUAUUGUUAAAAAUUAUUAGAAAAUUACUAAUUUGUCUAAUAUUAUUUUUCUUACAUGCAUGUAUGAACCUUUCAAAAAAAAAAUCUUACAUGUAUGAAUUUUAAUGUAACAAGAAUAAAUUAAAAGAUGAGUCCUAUAUAUAUAUAAAAAAAAGAUAAAGACUGAUUUUGGAAUACUGUAUCAAUCUGUUUGACUUAAGAAAAAGUAUAUAUGAACGAGGAAAUUAGGAGAGGACAAAAGUGAGUCCAACAUAGAGAUACCACCUUAAGGUAUACCUAUUUAAAAUAGCAAUAUGGGCCUAUUUUUUUUUACUCUAAAAUCUAAAUAACAUAAGUUUGUAUAAUUAAAUUCUAAUUCUAAUAAUUAACAAAUAAUAAAUUUACCUAUUUGCAUAAUUAUUUAUCAUUACAAUAUUAAAGAGAAAUAAAAUUAUUUAUGGGUCACCAUGUUUUUUUAAUAUAAAUGCUACUAUCCUUUUAAACCAAAAGGCUAAUAAAGGAUAUUUAUUACAAGUGUCGUGAGUCAAAUCAUCAAAGCUCAUAAAGCUUAAAAAAGCAACACUGAGCUGAUAAACCAAACAAAUAAUUGAUAAGAUUUUAUUGAUUCUGAACAACUGAUAAGAUAAGACCCGGAGAAGGUAUGACUUUAGGCUGAGAUCCAAGUAGCUGGUGAUGAUUACUUUGGCAAUAGGUAAUUAGGUACCUGUCCAUUCUGGCAAGAUCAUUCCUACUCAAUGUCUGCAUGACCAUGACCCAGUCUCAAUGUACAUGGAUUUGAGGUUAAUAGAGAAUGUAACAAUACAUUUUUUUAAUGAAAUUUAUAAGUUAUAAUUUUAGUAUAUCUAAUGAGUCACUUUUUUAUUUUAUAAUUUUUAAUCAAAUUUAAUCAAUGAUAAAAUGUAAGUUAGAACUAACGUGUUAUUAACAAUCUUCUGUUCACCUGAAUAAAAUUUCCCACGUUUUAUAAUGACUUUAACCAUAAUUCUUUUUUAUAGGCAGACAAAUAAUUUUAUCGUAAAAAAAGAAAAAAAAAGUGUUAAGUACUAUAUGUACUCAACCAGUAGUAUGACUUUAAGGAGAAGUUGAAAGAGAAAAAACAAAUUAGUUUCUUAAGAAUCCUGAUGUGAGGAUUUUAAAUUAAAAAUUUUAAUUUUUUAUAUUUUAAAAUUUUUUUAUACCACCGUUUCUUAUAAAAUUGUUUCCACAUAAAGGUGAGUAUCUAAAUUUUUUAGGUUGAUUUUUUUUUAUUAAGAAUAUCAUACAAAUCUUUAUUAGAUUAUUUAAUGCGAUAAAAAAUUAAAAUAUUCCCCAUUCUUCUUUUAUUGUUUUUUAAGGUUUUCACUUAGAAUUCAAUACAAUCCCAGUAUCUUAUUCUAUUAUUCCACUUUUAUUCCACAAUAAAUACAUGUGUAAAAUAAUUAAAGAUUAGAUAAAAAAUAAAAGUUAUAAUUAAUAAAAGAUUAAUUGAUGUGAUGUUGAGUAUCACAAAUAACGGAUAAAUAAAAUAUUUUUUUUCAAAGAUUCAAUAAUUAAAAAAACAAAAAAUAAUUGAUAAAAUAUUAUGUUUUUUUAAUUCUUAAUUUUUAUAUAUAUGACAUCAAUUAAAUAAAUUUUAUUCAUAUGACUGUUCUAGGAAUUUAUCAACAAAUUUUCCGGAAAAUACUCCUCUCCACUAAUUUUCCUUGUACCAAAUUUCUCCUAACCUUAAUAUUCUAAACUUAAAAGUGUGUACUAAGACACGAUUAGAUAACAGCACAGAUCAUUCAGUCAUUCUACUCUAUAAAAUCAUUAAAUUGCUUCAAUUUAGCUUGCUUUUUACUCCUCCAAAAUCGAAGCUGAUCUUAUUUGUCCGCAACCGCAAGUACUCCUAUUUAAGAGCUUACUGUGGCUAGUCCCAAGCCAACCUUGUGCGGACUCUACUUAAGUUAAGGUUCAUAAUGUUCACUGUUCCAAUAAUAUAUGAACCUAGAUUUAACGACAAGAAUCUUGUUUUCAGAUAGCAAUAUUUUAGCAACGCCCGGUUCAGUUAACAGCACAAUUUGACAACAAAUGUUUUUCUUACCCAACCCAAGAUAUGAAACCGAAUAUUCUAUAUAUAUAUAUAUAUAUAUAUAUAUAUAUAUAUAUAUAUAUAUAUGAUGAAAAUAAAUGCAAGCAGGAUAGCCUAAUCUUUGUUUUAGGGAGUCCGAAAAAUAUUUUUAUUUAUUAAUAAUAUUUUUUUCUUAAUAAAUACUUCAUAAAAAGUUAAUAAUUACUUAAUAAAUAAUAUUAACUUAUUACGAUUAGCUAUAUUAAUAAUAAUAUCAACUUAUUACGAGUAAUUAUAUUUUUUUCACUCUUAAAAGUAGGCCCCUCAUCCUACUUUAUCUUGAAAUCACCAUUUAGAGCCAAUGACUUAUUUCCAACUUUAGAAAAUUGAAUUCCAUUGUCAUUAAUUCUAUAUAAUCUUCACUAUGGUUAUUGAAGUCCGAUUACAUGUAAUUAAUACUAAGAGUUAGUAAUUGUUCUAUUAUCGGACGUUGGCUGGGGAGCAGGGUUAUAAAGAUUGCAAGGUGAGCUAGGGCGUGCCAAUUAAGUUGGCGGCAAUUCUCCUUUUGCCUUAUUUAAUUUGUUCUAGGUAUUAAAAGCUAGGCAAGUGCUAAGCUCUAGUCUCUUUCUUGGUGGUAGUUGCAACGUGCUAUUAAGACAUGUCAUUUUGGAUGAAAGGGCUAACUCUAUCGAUGUGAGACAGUGAGAGAUGAGCAAAAUAUUGCGUAAACAUCUUCCAAAUUUAUAUUGUCGGCAUGAUAUUUUUCUCUUAAUUGAAAAAGGAUGGAUCAAGUUUGUUCUUUCCAUGUUGCCUAAUAGUUCAAGUAAGAGGCCAGUAGUUCCUCGGCGUCUUAACAUUUUGAUUUUAUCUCCAUUAUAUAUCUUUUUUGGUUUAUUGGUUCCUUGACGUGGAAUAGGAGCCUUAUUAAAAAUGCUAUAGAUUUUCUUCGACUUCUUUCUGCAUGGUUAAUUAGAGAUAAUCACCAAUGUUAUAUGCAAUUUAUUGAAUAUGAAACCUAGGGAAAAGAACCCAACAGACUUGUAAUCUAACCCACACUUAUCAAGAAGUAUUCUCUGAAAUAAUACUAAAAAUCUAACACACUUAAGUUAUUCAGCGAGAGCUUGACAGAUCUGAAUAAGAAUUCAAACUUAAUUAGACCAUAUUUACUUGUUAUAGUGAAAUUUGUAAUCUGUUAGAUAAAGACGCUCAGCUAACAUGAGCCAAUGUGUAUGAGGCAAUUCUGGGAGGGGUUUGAUAAACAAUUUUGAUAUUCUCUUGUUUUAAGUAAGGGUGUGGAAGAGAGUUGCCUUAAGCCUGACUUAGGUAUGACUUAGUAAGCAUAAUUUUUUUGUAGUUUCCACUCGUUAAAAAUGUAAACUUGUUUUUGUUUUCUUAAUAAGUUUAACUUGGUUCACUUUUAAAUCACAAGAUAACAGUUUUUUUUUAAUUUUUGUAUAUUUAAUUAAAAUAAUAUACACAUACAAAAGAGGGAGUGAGUGAGAGCUUUUAAAACGUAGGUUUGAACCUAAUUAAAUAUAAUUUUUUUAAUAAAUUUAAAAUAAACUCUCAUAAUAUCUUAGAGUGAGUUUCAGUCUACUAAUGAAUUAAGUUGAGGAGCAUUUGAAUGACUGGACUGACUUCCAACCUUCUAAUACAAAACACAUUAUUUGUUCUAUUUUUAUACUCCAAUAAAACAAUUUCCCAGAAUAUCUCUGCGAAAGACUGCUAGUGUUGACUAGCAGAUUAUAAAUACCUGCACCUGGAGGUCCUACCACAGAGUUGCAUGUAAAAAUUAUAGCAAUAACGGGUUAUAAGCUAUUAUACGUUUUUAACUCUAGCUAAAAUGUUGUUUUAUUACAUGAAUUUUAUUUUUAUCUAGCUCAACUUUAGAACAUGUUGAUUGUUGUACUUCAUUAUUUCCUUUCAAGGUUUCCCCUUUUUUUUGGGAGGCUGGAUGCUUAUCCCGGUUAAGUAAUUGAACUAGGUUAUUAAUUGCCGGCUGCUAGUUUGGCUCUUCAAAAUGAGUUUCUAGAAUUUGUUAAUUUUGGCCCAUGGAUCAUUUACAAAAUAUAAAUUUUAUUUGCCAUGAAAAGAAAAGAAAAUCUCACACGAGGUAUAGCUAGUUAAGCGCAGGUGAUUUUACUUUGGUUGGAUUUUUUGGUUAUAUAUGAAAAACAUUUAGACCAUUGUAGUACGUAUAGUUGCUUGGGCUUUACAAAGCAAUGGAUAGGGUAGGAAAAUUUGAACCACUCCACCCGGCAUCUGUCCUAUGAGGACUGGGUUAGUUAAUGCUUGGACUGUGUUUUGGGGACCAACUGUGGGACGAAUUUAUAGAAUGGAAAAUGAUGCACGAAUUUGUCAUAUUAGUAGAUGUGAUAGAUGACAUGAAAUAAUAAAAGAUAAUAAUGAUAAACAUGUAUUCUGUAAAUAGAAAUAAGAGAGAGAUAGAAAAAAAAAUUAAAGAAGAGAAAAAAAGUUAAAUAAUCUCAUCCUAAAUAGUCCAAUAAAAUUAUAUGGAAAUUUGUGUAUAAAAAUCUAAAUAAAUGGAUGUAAUUUUAUUGGGCAAAUAAAAUGAAAUUGUUUAACCUCAUUUUUAGUUGGGAUUAAUUAAACAAAUCCAAAAAAAUUAUAAAUAUACUAACAAAUAUAUGAGGGUGAAUAACCAGAAAAAUAAAGUGAAAAUGAGCUAAUUAAAAAACAAAGUAGAUGAUGCAUUUUUAGACAAAAUCAAAUUAUUUACAGAAGUUUCAUCUAUAGCCAAUAUGCAGUCAAAUCUCAUCUAUAUUGAUUAGUCGUUAUACAUUAAUUUAAGGGGGGGAGAGAAUGUAAUGCAUGGUUCAAAUUAUGGAUGCAGAGAAAAUGGUGCUAGAGAGAGACAGCAGAAAUUUUUGGCUGAUUUUUCUAUACAAUAUUUUUCUUUCUUCUAUAUUAGUAAGUAUUUACUACAAUAAAAAGAGAGAAAAGAAAAAAGACGGAUACCAAUAGAGCGUUUCCCCUAUUGAAAUGUUUUAAAAAAAUAUUACUCUUAUUUUUUUUGAAAAAAAAAAUACUUAAAUAAAACUUACUAUUCUGGUUCCUUUUUAAUUAUGUUUUAAGGUUCCAUAGAAAUCAAGUAACAAAUGUAAUAAAUUUUCUUGGUCUAUUAAAAUGGUUACAUAAUUUUCUAUUUUAUCCUUUUUAUUUUUACUCUACAAUACAUGUAUAUAUUAGUUUUUUUUUUCAUUUCCACUAUAAAUGUGUAAAUCACUACUACCAAUUAGCAAAUAGUAUUAUAGUUGGAAAAAAUAAUUAAUGAUAAAUAUCUUGAAAUUUAAAAAUAAUAAUUAAAUAAUAUUUUCUUCUCUAAAAGUUCCGCACUUAAAAAGAUACAAAGGGAAUAAUCUCGGUUUUCAAUUCAGGAGUUGAGUUUCACAAUUACCAGUGCCUGCAUUGAAGCCGCUCGUUUCACACUCGCACCCACAUAAACACACAUUAACUUGUUGGUGUUUGAAAAUAAUAUUGUAAAAAAGAUAAAUAAUAUAUCAUAAUAUAUAGUGUUAAUAAAAUAAAUUCAUUCCAAAAAGAUAACAAAAAUAAAAUUUAGUUCUUAAAAGUAUAAAAAAUGAGACAAAUCCAUUAACAUUAGAAAACUCACCUACAUAAACACGUAUGGAAGAAAAUGUUAGUUGACAUUAGUAACAAGAUACUAACAAUAUAUUAGACUUACAACUUUCUGAUUUGUUAUUGUAAAUAUUUAUUAUAAUACAUUAUAAUUAUAAUUAUAUUUAUAAUGUCAACUUAUUAUACAAAAAUCAAGAUUCAAGAAGAGGCAAAAUAAAGGUAAGUUCUCAAAUAACAAAUCAAUUUGUCAAAUUCUAAAUGGAUUAUCCAUAAGUAAAAGAAAACAAAUGAGAGAUCCAAUAACCAGAACUGCAAUACUUUUAUAGCUUCCUCUCUCAGUUAGUGAUCACCAAUAUAUUUAUAAUAAACAUUAAAGAAAAAAGUGAGACUAAUUUGUCCAUAAAAGUAUACUUUGUCACUUUUUUAUUUGACGUCUAUUAUAAUUAUAUAGGUAAUUCAUUAAUUGAGCAGUGAAGCUAUAAAACAUUGUAGUUUUAAUUGUUACACCUCUCGUGCUUGUUUUCUUUUACUUGUAGAUGAUUCAUUUAAGAUUUGACAAACUAAUUUUCUAUUUGAGAACCUAUUCCUAUCUUAUCUUCUUUUGAGUUUUGAUUCAUCUGUGAUAAGUUGAUGUUAUAACUAUAAUUAUAAUUAUAAUAUAUUAUAAUAAAUAUUUGUAAUAUUAAAAUCAAAACCUUCUAAGUCUAAUGUAUUCUUGGUACAUGUAUCUUGUUACUAAUGUUAACUAAUUAGAUUUAUAUAUUUUAUAGAUAUAUUUAUCAAUAAAUUAUAUAAUUGAAGGACAAAAAUAUUAAUAAGUUAUUAAAUUUAGAGAUGUAUUUGUUAUUAACUUUAGCCCAUAUGUCAACAUCAGCAUCAAUUCCGUGACAUUUUUAUUUCUGUGUGUCACGUAAGUAAAUUUCACAACGUUAAUAGAUGAAAGUUAACGGUAAGAUAGAUUUGUCUCACUUUAUAUAUUUUUAUAGACUAUAUUUUAUUUUUUCAUCUUUCAAGGAUAAAUUUAUCAACAUUAUACACUUUUAAAAAUAAAAAUGAUUAUUUAUACUAUAAAAAAAAUAAAAUAUUGUUUAAAAUGUUGAUAUGAUUGCUUUAACUAGAUCACGAGUACAUGUUUGUCACUACAACAUCUAUGGGGACUGGACGAACCAAUUGAAUCUAUGAGAGGUUGGAGAUAAGGUAACUAAAGAAACUUCCUUUUGGAAAUGAGGCAUGAAUGGGGAAAAGAUAAAGCUUGGAUUUCCCCUUCCAAUUAUGCAGCAGGAAGAAUUGGAAGAAAAGAAGUUCUGAGUGUGCAUAAGAUCGAAGUUUAAAAGGCAUUGGUAUAUACUUUUUUGGGUUAGGUUUCGAAUUUCUUCUUAACAUUAUUUUCCUGUGUUUUUUCAAUUCCAUCCUGCAGUUUUCACUUAAGAGCUUCAUAUAUAGUACUUUAAUGUUAAAUUUUAGAGGUUUGAGGCUUAGCUAGCUUACACGUAUAUUCAGAUACAUUAGAAAUCUUAAAAAUUUGAGUGUUAUUCAAUAUACAUGUUUCAAAAUUCUUGAAACAUUAAUUUUUUGUAAAUAAAAAGAAUCCAACCUGCAUCCACCAUCUUUUCUUUUUUAAUUAUCUAACUGAUCUUAUAUCUAAAAAAAAUCCUACCAUAUUAUAGGAAGAAUAAUUAUACCAUUGAUAUUUAGCAUACAGAAUCAUUAUAUCAAACAAUAGGCACUUGGUUGUACCAGUGGGUGCUCAAACUUGGAGGGACCUGGAUUAGGAUUUAGGAACCAUGAUCAGACAUAUAGGAAGGUGCAUUAGAGAGGUAUGAUAUAUACAUAUUUUAGGAAAGAAGCCACUUUGGGGCUAAGAGAACACUCGGUCAAUAUUUGCGUAUAGCACGAGUUCACUGCUGUCGUACUAUGGUACUCAAUCUACUGUUAGAGCAUUUAUAUCUCAUUUCUUCUUCCUGUCAAAACCUUGCAGUGUUGAACAUGACAGAUCCUUAGGAACUCUAGAAUUAAAGGUCACUGGGGUACCAAUACCAUACAUGUCGAGAUGAUAUCAAGUUCCUCGUCAUUAUGUAAAGGAUAAAUGUAAUAUUUUCUUGUUCUUCAAAAUUAAACGUUUAUAUUCAAAUUAGCUAUAUUUAUAAUUUUAUUUUAUAUUAUUUUCGGCUCCCUUUCAUAAGUGGUUCUUUGUUUUUUUUUCCUUAUUAUAUCUAGAUUUAUUAGUUUUUUUUAGAGCAAACUAGUAUAUUUUUUUGUUUGAACCAAAACAGUAUGCUCGUAUUAUUAUACAAGUAAUUGAAAUAUCCGAAGGCUUUAACGAUGAAAUGAAUUGUUUUAUAAAACAUAUAUACUCUUUGGGUUGUUUCUUUUGUCUGAUUACUGUCAUUAAUUGUAAUUCAUCCGUUAUACAUACGAAGGAUAGCAAAAAUAUAAAAUCUGAAAACUGACUUCUAAGUAACCUUAAGACACAACUAAGUUCCAAAAGUAGGGGGAAUAUACAACUAGGUGUGCACUUAGAAAUAGAAUUCAACCACUGCCACUUGUUAUGUAACUGUGCGUGCGAAAAAAAUCAACAAAUUUAAAACACUUGAAUUAUUUAGUACAGCUCAUCAUGAUUAGACACAAUUCUUGUACUGAAAAUUUUAUUUAAUUAAUUUGAUAUCCAUGCAUCCUAUGAGCAAAAUAAUAAUAACAAUAUAAGAGUAACAUAAUUAAAUUAUAAAUUUUGAAUAGUUAGUAAAAUAUUCGUACAUUCUUUCUUCAAAAUAAAGACUUGAAAUUUACAAUUUUUAUGAUGAAUUAGACAUUAAUAUUAAAAUGUUUUCAUUGAUAAACUGUUAACGCAAACUAAAAUAUUAUUAAUUUGAUGUUGUUUUGAUCUUAUGCUUGUUGACAUUGUUAAGUUAUCGUAUUUGAAAUAUUAUCUAUUUGGAUGUAAUGAUUCUAACACUAUUAGUGGAUUUGAGAUGAACAUGCAUUGAUGUUAAAAGAAGAACUUCAACCAAUCUUAAUAUAUAAUUCUUAGUUUUGAUUGUGACACUUGUUUCAGUAUGUUAAUAUAUAAUUUCACAUUGCUUAAAAGUUGAUGUUAUGGAUAAUUUAUAAACAUUAUUUUUUCUUAAUCCACCAAAACAAUUUUUAAGGGUAAAGUCAUGACAGACUAUUGAGCAUCAAAUCAAGUAAUACCUUCUUAAUUUAUCAUGACACAACAAUAACAAAAUUUUAUCUUAUGAGAUGAGAUCGAUUACAUGAAUUACAGAAUACCAUUUAGCACGAUUAAGAAUAAAAGUUUCAAUAAUAUUAAUAAAUUUUAGAUUUCCUUCAACUUCCUUUUUGUCUCUUUCUUCUCAUUUUCACAUGACUAAAAUUAAUGCAAUAUAGUCUUCUAAUUAGCAUCUUUUGUGGUUUUCUUUGUACAUGUCAAAAUCACCUUAAUUAAUAGAUUUUUUUAUUUCUUUUUUGGAUGUCACAUCAAUCUUUUUUUAUAUACAAUUAUUCUAUAUUCUAUCAUUUCUUCCAUCUUAACAUUUUUAUUAUGCUAAGUACCCUCUUUUUUCUCUCAUAUUGUCUCUUUAAAUCCCAUCUUCCACUACCAUAUAAUAUAAAUAGAUAUAUGGUUAUACGAUAAAACUUAUAUUUGAGUUUUGUAAAUACUUUGUAAUCACAAAUAAUCUUGAAUUUAUUUCUCCAUGUAAGUCAUCCCACUUGUACGCAUUCUGUGUGAUUUUUAAUCAUUAAUUUCUCCAUUAUUUUGUAUGAUUGAUCUCAAAUGUUUAAAAACUUAUAUAUAAACAUGUGGUAUGACAUAUUCUCUCAUUUUUUACCCCCAACCCCAAAUAAUCUUGUCUUUUAUUAAAAUUGCAAUGCAUAUAUUUUGUCUUGCUCCUACUUAAGCAAAAAUCCUUUGUUUCCAAAGUCUAUCUCUAGAGUCCAAGCUUACUUUUAAUUGCUUCCUUUGAUUCCUCAAUCAAGACUAUAUCAUCCACAAAAAGCAUGCAAUUAGGGAUAAUAUUCUACAAGUCCUUGUUAAGCGUCCAAGAUUAGAUUAAACACUUAAGAACUUAUAGUUAAGCCUUAAUGCAAUAUUUUUUAUUUUAAUCCUUCAGUUCAUCAAGGGACAGUGAUCACAUCUAAUUAAGAGUUUGGUUGAGAAGUACGUAAAGUUCGAUAAAAAUUAUUUUCACUAAGGAUCGAAUUCAAGUAAUACACAAACGAUUCAAUCUUAAUUUCAAUACAUUAACAACUUGUGUUCAAUCACUUGAUUUCCUUAAUAUAAUCAUAACCCAAUAAAAUAAAAAACUUAGUUUCACGUCUUAAAGUUCUCAAACUAAUAAUUACUCAUUCAUACAAGUCUUGUAUAACAUAAGUCAUGUGCACAUGUUUUUCUCUCCAAAGUCUUCUAUUCUAUUGCUCUUCUCUUAGUACAGUUUUUUCUAGGUCAAUUAAAACCUAGCUAUAAGCAUGAUACAUGAUGUUAAAAAUCUUGACAAGUUUAGCUCUUUUUUGGGGAUGUAUUAUAAUUACAAUCUUAAUUGUUUGGUUAAAUUUGUUUUGUAGUGUUUGGCAUACGGUUUAAAUAGGAUAGAAUGUUUUUAUACUUUUAUUUUAUCGUGAUUUCAUUCAGCUCGUCCAAAUAAACUUAUUUUUUCCAUAAUUUUUUUUAUAAUAUAUUAAUCAUUGUGUGUCGUUGUUUAUUUUUAAAAGGCAAACACUGUAUACUCGUCUAUCCUCAUUUUCUAUUUUUUGAAAUUGAAUUUACUGCAUAUGCAUUUAAUAUGAUUUGUUUUUAUCAAUGUAACUAAUGAGAGAGGUUGAGAAUUGAAAUAAAAUAGUGAGAUAUUUUGCAAUAAAAUUUAAAAGGUGAAAUAGUUUUUAAAAUGUUUAGACCAAAUAUAUGAGAGUCAUGAGAGAGUGAGGGAGUUACGCAUGUAGGUAAGAUUGAAAGAAUGUAAUAGUUACUAUUGUUGUGUUUGUGAAUUGUCUUUUAUUAUUAUUAUUUUAGUCCUAAGCACGUGAUAUUUUAGUAAGAUUUAAUUAAUACAGAACAUUAAAAGUAAAAUAUUAUAGAACUAAAUGCAUAAGCUAUGAAAUAGUUCAUAUUUAAUAUUAUUAAUAUAACACGUGGGGCCUUUUUGUAGUUAAACGUCAAUUCAAUGACGACUGAUAUAACAAUAAACCUUUGUUGAUACUUGUGUAAGUUCUGGCUUUUGAAUGUCAUUCCAUUAUUUAUAUUUUUUAUUAUAAAAUAAUGUAGAAUGAAUCGUUACAACCUCGUUUUUUUUAAUAAAUAGGUAUUUAGUUUCAAACUAUGAUAAAUUCCACUUUACAUUUGCAUCCUAAGGAAAACAAAACCCAUUAAACAAGAAAGAUCAGACCGUAGAGAAUGUCUCGGAGUUGGAUUUUGGGAGUAAAAAAGACAUUCUUAUUUUUAAUAAAUAUUCUCCAUUUUAAUAUUUAUUAAAUAAAAGAAAUAAAAUAAGAAACUAGAAUAAAUUUAACAUCCCAAUUUUUAUUUAAAAAUUUGAGACAUUAUAAAAAUGGAACAAUUUGCCUUUUAUUCUCCUUUCCCUCUAAAUUAUACUCUCAAACAUAUCACACUAUCUUAAAUUCAAUGUCUUGUUAUAAAUGUCGAAACGAAGGAUUGGUAUUGAGAAAUGCUUGUAGCCCUCCGUCAACGCCAAGAUAACGUACACAAACUAGGAGUCAGUAUUCAGAAAUCAGAACCGUUGCAUCCCUAUUAAUGUUGGGACUUAAAACCCCUGAUCUUAGAUGUGAUUUUAAUCUUUGAAGCGCUAACAAGAGUUUUAAAGAAUUUUAUAUUUUAUUUUUGGUAUAUAAAGUUUAAGAGAGAAAAGUCAGUUCAAGGCAUAAGUCAUAAGACAACUUUUCACGAUUCAGAGUGUAUGUAGUACGUAAUAUAUGUAUAGUACUAAAUGAUUGUAUUUAUAGGAAUCAAAACAAACACUUCAAUUUUUUUUUUCUUUUCCAGUUAAACCAACCUGAUUCGUUAGUGGUUUUGACCGUUAAUUUAUAAGGGUUUAGAAUUUAGAAGCAUGUAUACAUAGACUAGGAUUUAAUUCCCUUAAACCAAUGAAAUAUAUAGUGAGAAAGUAAGGAGUUAAAUUAACUUCAAAUAGGAAAUGCACAGAAAAAAGAUGGGAUGUGAAAAGUGAAAACUGAGGCGCUAUCGCUUGCAGGAUGACCAAGACAGCAAGGAACCCUACAUUAGCAGAACAAGAGAAAACAUGCACCUAACAAAACAAGCCUGUACCAAAGUAUCGAAUCUAUAUUAAUGGACCAGUUGUAAUUUAUAUAUUGGUGUAACCCUUGAAUUACUUUCAUUUUCAUAAUUAGGGCCUGCGAAAUUGUCGUGCCCUACAUUGGAGAUGAGAUCAAAAUAUGGAAUUUUCCAAAUGGCUAUCCUGUCAAAAUGAUGAUCAUGAGCAUUCUGUACGCUUGCGUAUGAUCAUGAACAUCAUCAAAUCUGUUUCUUUUUUCCUAAAUCCAGCUCAUUUAGCUUUAGGUUAAAAAAGACAUUAUAGAAUCAAUUUAAGUGACCCGUUAACUCAACCACUGGAAAGCUUGGUUUGUUAACCCUUUAAGCUGCCACAAUUAAAGAUGUAGAAUAGUGACAAGGUUCAAAACACAAUAAGGAAAGAUAUCUAUGUCUCUUCUAACAAUAUUGAGCAUGUAUAUAUACAAUACCAGUUUGUAGGAAGAGAUAGAAUUAAAAUUACACUGGAUUUCCACCCUCCUGGGCGCAUAGUUCAAGUGAUUGUGAUAGGUAUGGAAUUUUUAUAGAUGUCAUAAGUUCAAGUUGUGGCAACAACUCUUUGAUACAUAAAAAUAAUAAUUGCACAGGGUUAUCAAAAGUAAAAAAAAAAAAAAAAACUGUAAAGAUCAUCAGGUCAUCAAUUAUUACACCAUCAGAUUUCUCAGAAAUUAUGUUGGCAAAUAUAUUAAACAGUAAUGCUCUAGUCAGAACAUCAGUUACCUGCUGAUCCAUGCAUGUUUCCAUGUCUAGUACAAUAAACCUAACAUAAAGAGGAGGCAUAAAAAUGGAAAGGAAAACAGAAACUCUAUAGAGUAGAAGGUCAACUUCUGUUGUAAUAUAGAUUGUAUACAUAGCAAUAACAAUUUGAGUGCAUGAAUCCCUAAGCCCUAAGCAUCAUCCAUUUUGUUCUUGCUCAGAAACUUGCAAAUAUAGUUACCAAAAUCUGGAAUGCCUUAUCAAAACAUCUUGCUGGUCCAAUGGAUUGUAGCCAUAUCUAUGACCUCUGAAAAGCGAUCAAAAGAUCCAUCCCUUUGAAUUGAAGAAACUUGGCAGUGAAAUAAUAUGGAUACAGUUAUACAUAAUCAUCAGAAAGCUAAAAUUUCAAGCAUGCAUGAAUUUUUAACAGGCUAAAAGGAAUCAAUGCUUGGCAUGCUAACAUCGGAACAUAAUUAACAGUUAUCCCAGUGUUUGUUGCCCAUAAUUUUGCCUUAAGAUGUAAAGGGUUAAAAUUUUCAAUAGCUAUAUAAAUACAAAAAAAAAAUUCAAUAGUUAAUAUUCUUCACUAUAUGUUCUGUGGUUAUAAAAUUACCAUAUUUAUGAUUAUUCUUCACACCAAACCCUCGGUUAUAAUUCAUACCAAUAUUUAUGAUUAUUGAGUUAAUUGCUUAAGAAAAACUACGAAAGUAAGAAGGUUUUAACUUAUAAUUGCUACCGAGAAACUAUUUUCUGAUACAUCACAGAGCUUGUGUGAAAUACGUUGUUGACUUCUAUUGAUCGGUGCUUGAAUUCGCAGAGAAUGUAAAUUAGAAAAAUCCCCAACAUUUACAAGGAUAACUGCAGUUUUAGCACAAAAAAAAAAAAAAAAACAAGGUUAACUGCAGACAAAAGCUGAAUUUUUUAUCCUGAUCCUUGUAAACCUUGCACCAAAAGUACAUCAGUGCUUUUCACCAUUGAAGACUAACCAGUUACAUUAAUAAAAAACUAAAAGCAUGAAUAAAGCUGCUAGCGAGUGACUUCAUGACUUUUGAUAAUACUUGUUAAAUCAAACUUUAAAUAUUGGACAGAUAUAAUACACGCAGGACGCAGCAAACCUUUAUGAGAACUUUCACAUGCCAUUGGCUGAUUAUCAGCAAGAAUCAGUACAAACAUUGUAAAAUGGGAAUAUAGGGCAGAAAAAAGUUUAUGAUAGAGAGAAGAAACACAGAACUAUGAGAGAUGAUGAUUACAACGCAAAGCACACUUGAGAAUUUCGUUCUGAUCAGAUUUUACCGAAAACUAGCACAUUUUAGUGUCGACUCUGAUUGAUGCACUGGUCCCAAGAAUUUUCCAAAGAUUUUGAAUGUAGCUCUACAAAUCUGGACGCAGAGAAAAUCACUAAAACAUCAACACAAGUUGAAAACCUGAGAAGCAGUGAUUUAAUUAAAGAAGAAGAAAUUAAAAAAAUUAAAACUUACCACGGGUUCAUGAAACACGUAGAUAGAUUCAUGGUGCUUAUUCCACAAUAGUUAACGGCCCCAUUAGUACUCUCCCAGUUUGGAGUAGUGGAAUAGGGUAAUAGGGGGAACUCAUUGUUGUUGAAACUUGCUUCCCUAGGGAUCACAAGGUUUGGUUGAGAUAACGGCUUCAUGUUCCUUUUUAUCAUAAUAGAUUCUUCAAUGACGUUAAAGCCAUGAUCUCUUGGAGCUUCAUUAUCAUCAACGAAAUAAGGGUUAUAAUAAGGCUGAACCCAUCUUGCACGAGGUUCUUCAGGUUCAGGCUGAAUGGAAGACCACAAUUGGUGCAGCAUUUGAGUAGUGUUUGUUGUUGCAGGGCACCUUUCAUCAAAGUCUUUCUGCUGCUGCACCCUUAUACUGCUACACUUCUUGAAACAAGUCCUUUCUCUUGCCCUUGCCCUUGCCCUUUCCCUUGACUCUUUUUUGUUCUGAAUACAAGCAUCACCCCUCUGUGCCCAUUUCAGCUUCCUCCCUUUAGAACCAUCACCAACACCACCACCCACCAUUGAUUUGUUGUUGUUGAAGUUGUUAUUUGAAUCCCCAGAAGGGUCGCGUGAAGACUUGUCACCCCCAGUACUAACACUACCGCUAUGCUUACUUCGGGCUAGUUCUUUGAUUGCAUUCUCAGACUUUGUGAAGAGCCACUCAAGGGUGUUACUUGGUUUGUCAAACUCUAACAUGUCCUGAAGAUCAAAGAACUUCCGGGCUAUUUCGCUUGAUAAUCUCACCCUCCGGUCCCUCAAACCCUGAGAUGUGUGAAUCUUACUGUGCCUGUCUUUUUUGGCUGUGGCUGCUGCAGGUUUCUGAUGGGUGAGGAAAUUGGAAAUGCUGCUACCAUAGUGGGAACCAUAGUUAGUGUUUGCUGCUGCAUCGUGUUGAUUAUCAAGCAUGGCAGUGCAGUGAUGAUCAGCAACUGCAAAAUUGGCAACGGUUUCUUCAGGGAAUGGAGGAGGAUCAUGUGUGAGGGGAACAACAAGAGGGUCCUCAACCAGAAGAGUGUGGCUUGCAAAAUCAUUUUCAGAUUCAAUGAGAAAAGGAAGGAUUGGGUAAGUAGACAAAGGGAAGUUAGGGAAAAAGUUGGAGUCAUAUGUGGAAGAGAACAUCUGCAGAUUGGAAACCAAAUUUCAGUGUGGUGAAAACCCUAGCUAUUAUGCAGUGAGUAAAAAGAUCACAAUUAUAACACAGAGGUAGCUUCUCUGCUCCUACUUAACGGUCCAAGUACAGUCCUACUACUCUUAUAUAAUCAUUUUCUGAGAUUCCCCAUCUCUAUCUUUGAAAGGAGACUACUAGCUGCUAAGUACUAAGUACCAUUAAAGAAUUAUUAUUGUUAUUAUUAUUUUUUGUUUUUUUUAAGUAUAUUUUUAAAAAAAGAAAAAGAGAAGUAUGUAUGUUGUUGAGGAAAGUGAGGACAACAGAAAGGGAGAUUUAGUUUAGGCCAAUGAAGUACUUAGAUCAUAAUUUCAUUUAUUUUGUGAAUACAACUACAAUAUUACCAAUCUGGGUUAGGGCAGAGGCAGAAAAUCUAGCUCAAGUAUCAGGACAGACACCGAUCAAAAGGACACAAAUAAUUUUUUGGUUUGUACCAUAUUCAAAAUAUUACUAGCAUAUUCAAGGCCAUCAACUUCGAGAAGAAUGUUAUACAAAAAUUAAGUGACAUACAUCAACAUAAGUACAUAUACUUCACGGCGAAUUUAUUAAUUAUGGUAAAGACGAAUUAAAUUACAUAAAAAGAAUGCCAAAGGAAGUUAGAAAGAGAAGAGUGGUACAUAUGGAAAAAAAUUGGGAAAAAAACAAGUGCUUACUAAGGGAUAGUUUGAUUUAGCUUUUAAUUUAGAAGGUUUAUUAAUUGAACUUUUUAAGGGUAGUUAUACAAUUGAAAAAGAAAACAGCCCUAACUUUGUGGAUCUAGUUUUGAUGGGUUUUAUCCGAAAGGUAAUGAACUUUUGAAGUUGAGCCGUACAGGAAAUGUAAAAGGUAGGUGAGAAGCUGUAAUAGCUUCUCAGCUGUUUGUUCUGUAAAAACUAAACCGCAAAUAUACAAACUCGUCAGGAAAAAUAAAAUUACAUUUUUUCAUUUUCUGAAAAGCUGAAAGUAGUACAAAUUGACUAAAAACUUGGUGUUCUUUUUUAAUGCGCCCACAUUACUUCAUUUCAAUCCCGAAAAAAGCUCAUUCAUCUCUGACAGCGAUUGCAGCUUCCCUGGGAUACAUAUGUGUAUGUGUACUCGUUAUAGUAUUUAAGUACAUGAAUACGUAGGUGCUUAAAAAAACAUUUAGUUAUUUACAUGCAUAUUAUAAUUCUAUCUGUCACUUUAAUUAAUUCGUCAAAAAUUGAUUUCAUUCCCUAGACUUUUUAACGGUUAAUCUUGUACAAUAUUUUGCUUUUAAUAAGGAAAAAUGAAUGAUAUAAGUAAAAAAUAAUGCGCAAAUUGAAUAUUUUACCACAAAACAAUUGUUAAGCCAGUACUAUUGAUAUGUAACCUUGUUUGUCAAAUUAAGAAUAGAAAUUAUUUUUUUAAAAUACAAUAUAUAUAUAUAUAUAUAUAUAUAUAUAUAUAUAUAUAUAUAUAUAUAUGUAUGUGUGUGUGUGUGUGUAUAAUUACUUUGAGAUUUUCUAAUUCCAGCCGCAUGGUAUAGUUUCAAAAAUAUGGUGCCAAGUAGAUGCAGUGGUAGUGGCAGCUAGUAUUCAGUUUCAGAAUGCCUUAAAUUUGAAGUCUCACAAGAAGAUUGAAAAUAAAUCUAUUUCAUGGACUCACCCUCCAAUUGGGAGCUACAAACUAAAUUGUGAUGGGGUAGUCAAUGGUGACUUCACUACCAAAAAAUAGCAUUUUUCCGACAGCAAAAAUCCCGGAGUUUUCAGGAAUUCCUUGGGUCAUGUUAUUUUCUCCUUUUCUGCUAUUGAACUUUGUUCUGUUGUCAUGGCUGAAUUGUGAGCCAUUAAAAUUGGUGUGCAGAUUGCUUGGAGUCGUGGUUUCCAACAGUUUCAAGUAGAAUCAGACUCGCAAGUAGUAGCCAUUACAUUGCUCACUAGUGGAUGUCCUACUUACCAUCCAUGCCUUAGUUUAAGUCAAGAGAUACUGAAGUUCCGGGAGCUUGGAGGUAGCAUUCUGUGGCAUCAUGCCUUAAGAGAAGGAAAUCAAGUGGCUUAUUAUUUAGCUAAGUUUGGUUUGUCCUAAGAUAUAUAGACAGCUACAAAAUUUUGAGAUUGUUCCUCAAUUUUUAUUAACUGUAGUUUUAGCAGAUGUAUCAUCUAUCAUGUUUCCUCGUGAUUUUUAAUGUAUCGUUCUAGGGGAUUUCCCCUUCCAUUUACCAAAAAAAAGUUGGACUAUUAGAUAUUUUAUGCAUGAUAGGAGGUUUUGCCUAAACAAGGCAUUGCCAAUGGAUGCUUUGGGGCCAAACAUAGAUGCAUGUGAAAUUGUUGUAUCGAUAAAUAAGCAUUAUUUACUCAAGAGUUCGCAUUGGUUGGAUGAAAAUGAGAGCACGAAAGACUAUGUCAAUUUAAUUUGUUGACGCACAAUAUCCACGUUGUAUAUUGCUAAAUUGUAAAAUUACAAUUUAGUAUAAUUUAUGACAUAUAUUUCAAAAUAAUUAACAUCAAUAUAAGUAUAACAUUGUGUUAUACUAAAAUAUUAUUCAAAAAAGAAUACAGAAAAUUAAACCAAGUUAGAUAACCCAAAGGUAUAACUGGAACUCAUUUUUUAAAAAUAUAUAACAUUUAAUUACUAAAACUUAAAUUCAUCAAAUUAGAAUUAGACAGGAAAAAUUUACCGAGACUAAUAAGAAAAUUAAUUAAUUUAGUUAAUAAUAUUUAAUUUAUCCUCAAUUUAUGUUUUUUUUUAAAUUAUCCAUAACAUUAACGAGACAUACGUUUAUUCUUUAUUCAAAUAUUUUUAUUAGUUUAAAUUCUUUUAAUUAAUUAUCUCUUCAUUAAUAUAUCUAUACAUAUUGCUUUAUUUUAUAUUGGUUAUGCUUGUCAUUCUAAACCAAAUUCUUUCUUGGUCGUUACAUUGAAGGUGCAAGUCCAGUAAGUUGGAGUAAUUGGCUUUACCUAUAGAAGGGGUUAAACAGGAGACUUUUUAUGAAAAGGACCAAAGGAAAUAUAAAUUAUGAACACUAAAACCACAGCUAUUCAAGCCUUGGAAUACAAUUGAAAAUAUGUAGAUUAAAUAUGAUAAGAAUCAACGUUAACUUAUUUAUAUAAUUAAUAUAAGCGCCGAUUAAAAAAAAUUAUACAAUGUAAGUUUAUUUUUUAUGUCUAAUAUGACAUUCAUAAUAUACUAUUAAUUUAGAAGAUUAUUUUACUUUAACGCCUCUAAAUAGGGUAUAAAAUUUUCUUUCAAUAAGAUUAUAGGCUUGAUUCUCUAUUUAGGUCAAAUGCUUAAUAUAUAAAAAAGAUAAAUUAACAUAAUAAUUUUAAUACAUUAUAAAAAUUUAAUAAACUAAUUAUAUUAACAAAAUAUUAUUAUUUAUAAUUACUUAAUUAAAUUUACCAGUCUAUUAAACUUAAAAUACUUUUUGAAUAGUGAAUUCGGUGUAAAUUAGUGAUGGACAACUUCAACUCGUGCAACUUCAAUAAUAAUGAAUUUGGUACUUUGCCGAAAAAUUAUAGAUUGAACAUUCAGUUUAUUUUAGUGUUAAGUUUGCCCAUGGACAUGAUUAAGUGAGACGCUCAUACUCUAGCUAAGAUAUCUAGAUUGUUUGUUAGUGCACAAGUUUUUAAUUCAGUUCCACAAUGUAUUAAGUAUGUUCUUAUGGUUGAAAUAAUGAGAUGCUUUCCUUAAAAAAAAAAAGAUUUUUUGAAUGUCUAAAGUCCUAAAGACUAAUUUUUUUUAAUCAAAUAGGUUUUUAAAAAAAUCUUAAUUAGCCUAGUUUAUUAAGUAUAAAAAAAAGUCUAAGCUAAAACUUGGCUUGAUGUAGGUUAGACCAAUGAUCAUUGUCAAAAGGUCUGACUUAUUUUCACUUCUAAUUUCAUGUCAUUACCAAUCUUUAGAAUUUUGAAAAUCAAAUCAAACUAAUUGGUUGAACCUGUCAACUGUUAGAUUUGAAUAAAUUACAGAAAUGGCUUAGAGAAAAAUUGGUCAAAACUGAUAAAUAUCAAUAAAUAAAAAAAUUGUUUCGCAGCAAGUAAAAAAAAAAGUUUAGUAUAACAUUAUUUUGAUUUUUAAAAAAAUAAUCUAAAGUAUUUAUCAUAAAUUUUUAUUUUAGAUGUUAACCCGUUAUUGUUAAUAAAUGUUGUUAUGUGUUGUUGAAACUGAUAUAUUUUAUUUGAAUUUGUAUGUACAUUUAAUUUUAAAAUUUAAAACUCAAUAAAAAUAUAAUUUACUUUUAUUCUUUUAGUAUUAUAAAGUUAUAGCAUUACGUUUCUUUGAUAUUAUUGUGUGUUUUUAGUUAUUGUUGUUUUUAUUAACCAUAAUUGAAUCAUUGUUAAGUUUUAAAUCAGUACUAUAAUGAGUUCAAUGACUAUUCUGAUUUUAAAAACACUGCUAAUAACUCAAAUUUUAUGCUAUAUCUUAAAGUAUAAACAAAACAUUCUAUAAUUACUGGUUUUCAAACUACAGUAGCUCUCUGUUUGCAAACACUGCUAAUAAUAAUCAUAGUUCAAUUCAAUUGAUCAUAAAUUCAACUGUUACUUCUCUAUCUGUUUUUAUUUUUUAAGAAGAAGCAGCGCGCCAAAUAAACCAUGCAAUAUACUAGGACCACUAACCACUUUGCCCGGAAUUUGUACAGAAUCUAAAUUGAUUAUAAUGGCUGUUUAAUAAAAUAUUGCGAGGAGAUGUAAAAAAAAAUUACUCUUUUAAGAUUUUGCCAAGUUAUCUAAAAAAAGGGAAAUGGAUGGACCAUGCAUGUUGGGUGAUACAAACCUCACAAUAAGAGAUAUGCACCCUACUGUCUCAUAGUGGACCGGCUAGUUAACAUAGCAAUAAUUGCAUUGAUAGCUAAGCAACAGUUGGCAUGCAUCCAAUCCAUCAACCUAGAAACUAAACAUUUGAUCUUUGAUGUGCGUGUUCACUACACUGAAUACUAAUAGAUAGAUAGAUAUCUUUCUCAUCUUUCAUUGAGAAUAUAAAAUUGUGAUAUACAUCUGAAUCCGAAGUAGAAUUGGUAAAUUCAUUGGGUCACCCGAUCUGGUUCAGUCUGGAUUUUUUUGGGUCAGGUUAGGUUAUCCUGUCUUGAAUUUCUUGUAUGUUACAAAUUUGAUGAUCUAAACUAGCUUUUAUGCUAAGCUGGUAUGUCAAUAUAUAAAUUAAAUACGUUUUAAGUAAAAAUAAAUAAAAUUAAACUUAAACAUGUUUGAUUUGUGGCACCAUAAGGAAGUCUUGCUUACAAUUAAAAGAAUUGCGCCAUAUUUUUCCAGUAAAAUACUCACAAUGAGGAGUAUAUUACAUGUUUUUCCCCAUUAAUACUUAUAGAAAUAUAAUAAUCUAUUUUUUCAUUUCUUCUCACCUCCCCUUAUUAUCUGAGUAAGGCAACUUGCUUUUAUUCUUUCGAUCAAAUAAAAAUAAGAGAACUUUUCUCUUACAAAUCGUAAUAUUAAUGUGUAGUGUUUUGAUUCUCCUAAUUAACACAAUCUUAGAUUCUUCUUCUUUAACUCGUCUCUUUUUAGGUCUUAUCAACACAAUCGCAGAGUCUUUUGAUUUAUGUUUUCAAUUCCUUUUUCAAAUAUUUCCGCUCAUCAAUAGCUUGAUUAGAAGAAAGUAGUAAUUAUUUUUUAGAGCUCUUCAUCAAAAUUAUAAAAAGAAAAGUAUUUUUAUACUUAAUUACUUAAUUAAUUAGCAAACCAUGCUUAAUAUAAAAUGCAUUAAAUGAUGAGCUAAACAAUUGCACGUGAUGUCAUUCACGCACCUGUCUUUUCAAUUUUUUUGGCUACAUAUUAUCGGAUUCUGCAACCUUUUCAAAAUGACUGGUAACACCUCUUGACGUCCUCCAAUUCACGUGCAAUUUUAUAAGUAAUGUUUGAAAAAAAAAAAGAGUGAAUUAUAUAAUAUUAAAAGUGAAAUUUUAUUAAUAUAAUAUUAGAGGAGAUAAUAAAUAAAUAACAAUUUUAUAAAAAUAUUGAAAGUAGGAAAUAAAAAAUUAUAAAACAUUGUACGUCAUAAGGAAUAAAUUCAAACGCUUCUUCAUCAUUUAAAAAAAAAUAUUUAUAAGCCAUAAAAAUAAAUUCAUUUACUAUAUACUUUUAUUUUAAUUACUUUGAUAAUUUUACAAACUAACCAAAAUAAACUAUAAUUUAAAUGAAAAGAAAUGCCAAAAAUACUAUUGUAUCUUGUUCUUAAUUGCUCAGUGCUAGUAGCUUCAUGUUUACUAUUCUGACAAAAAGAUCAAACGUGCAAGUAAAACGAUAUGAGUAUUAAAGUCGUAGAAUAUUGACAUGAUUUGUUAUCUAAAACUUAUAGAAAUUGAUGAUUAAAGUGAUUGACAUGUAAUGAAAAGUAGAAGAUUAUACUAGAAAUGCAAUGAAAUGGCAGAAUAUCAUCAAGUAAAUUGUAUUUAAGAAAUUUAUCAAAUAACCAGUGAACGUACGAAAUUGAGGUGAAAUUAAUAAUGAGUGAAACAUUGUUGGAAUCGGAUUUCGUAGGAACAACCUCUACACAUGUAAUCAAAAUCUUAGAUCACAAUUCUACUUCAACGAAAUUUAUUAAUUAAGUUGAAACUCGAUCUAAGCACAAGGAAUGCGCGAGCUAUUGCAGAGUGCGUGCAAAUACAACAGCGUUCCAGCUUGUAAACAAGGCCAAAACAAGAUUCGGCCAUGGAAGAGCUUUAGACAGAACUCCACACCCAAAACCGUCUCAAACGAACUUAUGAAUCGAUCGAAUGCAUCUUAACCUUGUGCAUUGUCCAAUUAUACACGAGUUUCUCCAACUAAAAUUGUUAUUUCAGCUUUAGCAUCUAGGGAAGAUAAAAUAAACCCGAAUCUUAUGAAUAUACUAAAAAAUAUGAUUACUUAUUUAUUGGGACUGAGGAUGGAGGCGCGGAUGGAUACGUACGGAUAUUAUAAUACAUUCUACCCACGCAUAUAUAUAGCAUAUAUAUAUCAUAUAUGAUAAAUAUUAAUGUAUUAAAAUAUGUUAUUUAAGUUAAUAAUUUAUAUUAUAAAUAUAUUUUUUAUAUAAAAAUUAUAUUUUCCUAUUUUAUAACUAACAAUAGUGGUGUAACAUAAAAUAGUGAAUUUUAAUCCAACAUAAUUUAUAUUAAGUUUGUUUUAUAUUUUAUUUAGGAAUAUUGAAUUAUUAUUAUUAUUAUUAUUAUAUAUAUAAAUUUAUGAAUUUGUUGACAAAAAAUUUUUUUAGAUUGACUUUAAAUUGUAAAUCAUAUUUUAUGUUGUUUGACACUUCAAUUAGUAGUGUAGAUUUAUAUUUAUUUAAUGACUUAUCUUUGUAAUAUUAGAUGAUUAUAUUUGUAAUAUUUAAUGAUGACUUAAAUUUUGAUAAAUUAAUGUUAUGUUUAUUUGUUUUUAAUACUAUCUUGAGUCUUAUAUAUAAGAAAAAAUAUAAUAUUUUAUCAUCAAUUUUAGUUAAUAGAAAGAUAAAAAUUACUUUAUUGUUAGAUUUUAUGUUUGGCCCUAAUUAAUAAUGAGGUCUAUCAAUGAUAUACACUCAUUUUUUCAAAAAGAUGAGUGUACUCAUUGAGCUAUCAACAAAAUAUAUAUUCAUUGUUUAAAAAAUUAUUUUUGAAAAAUAAUCUUCUCAUAUAUAUAUAGUACUGUGUUAAUACUUUUAAUAUUAUGUUUGAAUUACUUAAAAGUAAAUUUUCAAUUUACUUAUAGUAAUUUUUCUAAUUAAUAUAUUUUUUUAUUGAUUUAUUAAUUAACUUUAUACAUAAAUAAAGUGUGAAUCACGUAUACGAAUAUGAGUAUAUAGAUAUCAAACAAAUAUAAAAAUAAGAAUAAAAUUAUCAUCUACGUAAGUAUUGGAUUGAAUAUAAGUAUUUUCUUAAAAUACGAAUAUGAAGAUGAAUACUAUAAAAUCUUACUCGAAUCGAUUCUCAUCCCUAAUCAGCUUUCACUUAAGUGAAGAUAAACUCUCACUUAAGCCGCACUGCAUCUGUUGAGCUCUGGGAAAGAUCUCGCUUAAGUGAAUUUGAGUGUCAAUUGAAGUUGCUCUCUGAAAUAGAUUUGGCUUAAGUGAUAAGUGGUCUCGCUUUGAGCAACGUUUUAAGAUCUUUGGAACAUGUCUCUCUUAAGCGAGGUUGAUACUCACAUAAGUGAGUCUUGUCCUUCAAAAGCAUUAUUUUGCUUCACUUGAAUCUUCAUUCCUUUAAUCAAAAAGCAACAAAAAUCAAUCAAAAUGCAUUUGGGUGUUAAAUCAAACUAAACACUAAUUAUUUACAAUUUUACUCACAAAUAGGGAGAAUUAAAACUCUAAAUCAAAAAGAAAUUAAAAUAAUUGCUUACAAAAAUAAAGUGUAAAAAACAAUUAUAUAUCACUUCGAAAUCUACUUCCAUAUUUCUCUAAAUGCUCAGAGGGCGACUUUAAUUCGCUUGAAAUUAUAUUCAACAUUAUAGAUUAUAUAAGAACUUAUAAUUAAGAAGCAUGACGUCGUAUAAACUAUAAAGUGUUGAAUGUGGUAUGCUCGAGGUCAAUGUCGUUUUAGGUUUCUAUUUACUACCUCCUUUCAUGUAAAGAAUACAAUUAUUUUUGGUUUAAAUCCACUCCUGGUCUCUAAAAUUUUAUAGUUGUAUAAUUUUAAUCUCUAAAAAAAUAUAACACAUUUGGUCCUUAAUGUGUUUAAAAUUUAACAAUUUAAUUUGGUUUAUUAUUUUUUUAUAAGAAAUAUAGUUAUUGUAUUUCAUCAAGGAUAACAAAUAAACAUGAAAAGGAAUAUUAUCAUCAUAAUCAUGAGAAUUGAGAGCCAACAUUGUAUCUUGAUGUCCUAGCUAGCUUAGGAGCCACAAAAUUAAUUUGUUUCUUACAAAAUUUCACCCUAGAGUUAUCUAAGUUGGAUAAGAGCUGUUUACAAUUGACUCGAAUAAUAUAAUUUAAUGUUAUUGUGCAGUUAAUAUUUUAACAAAAAAUGGUGACAUAACAUGCUAAUAAUAAUGUGGCAUUAACAUGAUUACAUGACUAAUGUGUAGGAAUGCAAUACAUAUUCUUGAUUUCUUGCACAACAAGAGAUAUCUUGUACAAAGUAAUAUGAUACAACCUAUUUAAUUAUGAGAACUAUGUUUGUGUUUGUGUGCUUUUUUUCUUUUCUUUAUUUGGCAUUGUUAUGUAUACUAUAUAUGUCUUAUAUAUUGCCUUUUUUGUACAACUUUACUACAAGUCUUCUUUUUAGCUCUUUUUUAUUAUUUAUUUUGGUUUGAUUUUGGUAACACGAGAGUUACGUACAAUAAUUUGGUAGAAAAUUAUUAACGAUGAGUUAUUUUAAGAAUUUAUCUUUUCACUUUUUUUCAAAAACUAUACAAAUGGUAAAAAACUUUUAAAUAGAAUUUAAAAUAACAAGUAGUUUAUUAUGAACACUUUUUUUAAUUCGAAAUAAACCUCCCCAAAUUUUUUAUAGUUUUUAAAAAACAAUUCGUAUACUUUAAUUUCUAAGAUAAUAAAAUAUAGCUUUUAAUACAGAUAUAUGAUUUAAAUACACAUACACAUUUUGACUAUGUUUAAUAUUUUAUAACCAAUUCCAUUAAAAUAAAUUAUUUUGUCAAACUCUAAAUUAAACUAGUAAUUAAUUAUUUUGUAUGGAAAUUUUAGAUUUUUUUUCUACAUACAAUAACAAAAGUCUUUUUUUAUUACAUACAAUAACAAAAGUCUUGACUGCUUUAACUUUUAACAUUGCAGCAGAACAUAUUCAAGUAGAGUUUGGACGACGACAAAAUUUUUUGGCUUUUAAGAAACUUACUCCACUGGGGCGUUGAAAACCUAACACAAACAGUCUAUUUUUUUUUAAGAAAAAAAUAUAUAUAAAUUUUUAAACUAUCCUUUAAUUAUAAUUUAUUAUAUGCAAUAAAUUUAUUAAUUUUUUAAAAAAAUUAAAUAAUAAAUUAUAAUUAAAUAACGGUAUAAAAAUAUAUAAGUAUUAAUUUUAUUUUAUUUUUUAUAAUCGCAUGUCUUGUACUGGUGUUCAACUUUUAAAAUUUUUCUUUCUGAAAUACAAUAACAGAAGUGACUCCUGGGUUGGCCGAGAAACUGUAUAUUACCAAACAAUAACAUAGAGACAAUGUCAUAAAAGAUGCACUAACGAAAAGAGAGUGUUAAUUGACAACUUUUUACUGUCGCAAGAAGUUGAUACAUAUUUAUGACUUUUAGCACUUUUUCUUAGGCACUAGUUUUUUUUUUUAACUUAAUUUUAUUCUAUAAGCACUUAAAAUCGCCACAAAUAUUCUAGAUAUAUGUUUUUCUAUAUGCAAUUUUUUACACUCAACGCUUGGUCUCCACCCUCACUUUCAGAUUUGGAGUCUCCAUAUUUGUUGCUUUUUACCAAGAAAACUCACAUUUGUUGCAUUCUCAAUCUUGUUUGACAUCUUAAAAAAAAUAUUGUUUUUGACAACCCUCAAUAAUAUGUGAUAUUUGAAAUAUAUAUAUAUAUAUAUAUAUAUAUAUAUAUAUAUAUAUAUAUAUAUAUAUAUAUAUAUAUAUAUAUAUAUAUAUAUAUAUAUAUAUAUAUAUAUAUAUAUAUAUAUAUAUANNNNNNNNNNNNNNNNNNNNNNNNNNNNNNNNNNNNNNNNNNNNNNNNNNNNNNNNNNNNNNNNNNNNNNNNNNNNNNNNNNNNNNNNNNNNNNNNNNNNCAACUAUUAUCGCAUGAUGAUGUACGUUAAGUCAUCAUCAUCUUUAACUUUAUAUAUUGUUAAAAGUAGAAAAAAUAGGUGAUGCAUUAUAAAAUAAUUUUAUAACAUCAUUUAAUUAUAAAUUAUUUAUAAUAAAUAUUUGAGUUUUUAUAGUAAUUACCUAAACAAUUAUAUCAAGACUAAUGCCUGAUUAGUUGACAUGACGAAAUUAAACUCAUAAAAGUAAAGAUGUUUAUGUGGAAAACUCUUAUACAAUUGAGCGGACUUUUUUCCAUGGUAGUUCAGUUUUCUUCUAUUCAAUUUAUUUUUUUGGUUUCCGCUCAGAAUAAGAAUAAUUUGAUAAAUUCAUUUUUAGGCAAUUAAGAAUAUUUAUUUGACUAACUUUUUAAUUGAAAUAAAUUUACAAUAAAUACUCAAUUUAUCUUUCACAAUCAAAAGAUUGAGAUGUUGUAAGAUCUCCGAUAAUAUACUUAUAUCUUUUCAUUUAUUACGUUUUCAAAUUUGAAUUUUAAUGUGUGUUGUAAGUAUAAAUUUAAAAUAAAAAUAAAAACAAUUAUUAUAUCAAAAUGGCAAAAACAUUUAAUACGUAUUAUUUAAGAAAAAAAUAUGUAAUAAUAUAUUUAUAUUUUAAUAUCUAUUCUUAUGUAUUUUUUAAAAAUCUAUUAUAUAUUGAUCAACUAAAAUAUUUUUAUAUCUACACUUAUUUUGCAUUUUUAUCAAUUUUCUUGCGUUUUUUGGCAUAUUUAAUAAUGACUAUUCUUUAAUAAUCAAUCAUUAUUCUUACAUGGUACAUAUUGUUGGAACCAUAUGAAGUGUCCAUUGCAUUUGACUAUGUGGAUAGUGUUUUGAUCCAGGCCUCCAUUUGCCGCUUAUUAAUUAAUUUGGUAACAGUCCGUACUAAUCAGUUACUUAUCCUUCCUCCAUCAUAAUUAAUCUUGGUAGUCUCGAAUGCCACAACACUGACUAGUCUCUUGGAUCAUAAGAAAAAGCCAAGGAACAAAAGAAGACAAAACACAAUGAGAGUAUCCUUUGCAUAGCAAUGUCUAAGUUCAUAAAAUUCAAACAAAAACGCAAUCACACACAGUGGACAUCACUUAUCCACUAGCUGAUCAGGAUCGCCGCGUCAAGAAAAAAAAACUGGACCCCAAAAGCCAUGCACAACAACACGUACUCACAAAGGUGUCAAUCGAGCAGCCCAAAACAUUCACCAACUCAACCCAUCAUGAGCCCACACAUUUGUUGUUUCUAACCCAACCUCAAACUCGUAUUCUCUUCCGCCACCUCAUUUUUGUUUAUUUCAACACCCGUCAAACUGCAUGCCACCCCGUGGCCAAAUGUCCAUGCAUGUUAACAAGACCUAUGACUAUAAAUAUCUGCAAUCUCGGCCCAGGUUUUCAUCAUCAAGAACCAGUUCAAUAUCCUAGUACACCGUAUUAAAGAAUUUAAGAUAUACUAUGAUGAGAGCGCGGUUCCCAUUACUGUUGCUGGGAGUUGUUUUCCUGGCAUCAGUUUCUGUCUCAUUUGGCAUUGCGUAUUGGGAAAAGCAGAACCCCAGUCACAACAAGUGCCUCCGAAGUUGCAAUAGCGAGAAAGACUCCUACAGGAACCAAGCAUGCCACGCUCGUUGCAACCUCCUUAAGGUGGAGGAAGAAGAAGAAUGCGAAGAAGGUCAAAUUCCACGACCACGACCACAACACCCGGAGAGGGAACGUCAGCAACACGGUGAGAAGGAGGAAGACGAAGGUGAGCAGCCACGUCCAUUCCCAUUCCCACGCCCACGCCAACCUCAUCAAGAGGAAGAGCACGAGCAGAAGGAGGAACACGAAUGGCAUCGCAAGGAGGAAAAACACGGAGGAAAGGGAAGUGAAGAGGAACAAGAUGAACGUGAACACCCACGCCCACACCAACCUCAUCAAAAGGAAGAGGAAAAGCACGAAUGGCAACACAAGCAGGAAAAGCACCAAGGAAAGGAAAGUGAAGAAGAAGAAGAAGACCAAGACGAGGAUGAGGAGCAAGACAAAGAGAGCCAAGAAAGUGAAGGUUCUGAGUCUCAAAGAGAACCACGAAGACAUAAGAAUAAGAACCCUUUUCACUUCAACUCUAAAAGGUUCCAAACUCUCUUCAAAAACCAAUAUGGCCACGUUCGCGUCCUCCAGAGGUUCAACAAACGCUCCCAACAGCUUCAGAAUCUCCGAGACUACCGCAUUUUGGAGUUCAACUCCAAACCCAACACCCUUCUUCUCCCCCACCAUGCUGACGCUGAUUACCUCAUCGUUAUCCUUAACGGUUAGUAUUCCUUUCCUCUCAAAAUAAAAUAAAUGUCAUUAUUUUAUGCGGAUUAAGAAAAAUUAUUAAAUAAAUAAAAACAAAACCAACAAUUUUAUAAAAACUAAUCUUACUAUGACACUUAUUUAAUUAAUUAAUAAACAUCAUCACAUGCUUUUACUUCUCAUAAAAUUAUGUUAUUGAAUUUGUUUUGUUAAUUACAGGGACUGCCAUUCUUACCUUGGUGAACAACGACGACCGAGACUCUUACAACCUUCAAUCUGGCGAUGCCCUAAGAGUCCCUGCAGGAACCACAUACUAUGUGGUUAACCCUGACAACGACGAGAAUCUCAGAAUGAUAACACUCGCCAUACCCGUUAACAAACCCGGUAGAUUUGAGGUACUACUUAUUCUUUAUAACUAAUUAAUUAAUUAUUAUUCUAAUUUGUUUCCAAAUCUUAAGAUCAAUCUUUUUCUUUUCUCUGCAGAGUUUCUUCCUAUCUAGCACUCAAGCUCAACAGUCCUACUUGCAAGGGUUCAGCAAGAAUAUUCUAGAGGCCUCAUACGACGUAAGCAACCAACACACCAUCUAAUACGCUAGCAAAUUCAAUAUUAUCAUUAUCCUUAUAUUUGUUUCCGCGCUUGAUUUUAUAGACCAAAUUCGAGGAGAUAAACAAGGUUCUGUUUGGUAGAGAGGAGGGGCAGCAACAAGGGGAGGAGAGGCUGCAAGAGAGUGUGAUUGUGGAAAUCUCAAAGAAACAAAUUCGGGAACUGAGCAAACAUGCCAAAUCUAGUUCAAGGAAAACCAUUUCUUCUGAAGAUAAACCUUUCAACUUGAGAAGCCGCGACCCCAUCUAUUCCAACAAGCUUGGCAAGUUGUUUGAGAUUACCCCAGAGAAAAACCCUCAGCUUCGGGACUUGGAUGUCUUCCUCAGUGUUGUGGAUAUGAACGAGGUAAGCAGAAAAACUGAACAUGACAAUUGAGUUCUAUUCACUUUCUUCUUAGUUAGAGAAACCUAUUCUUGAGACUUUAAAUAAUGAUUUACUUUUUUCUUUGUUCACAAAUAUAGGGAGCUCUUUUUCUGCCACACUUCAAUUCAAAGGCCAUAGUGGUACUAGUGAUUAAUGAAGGAGAAGCAAACAUUGAACUUGUUGGCAUUAAAGAACAACAACAGAGGCAGCAACAGGAAGAGCAACCUUUGGAAGUGCGGAAAUAUAGAGCUGAAUUGUCUGAACAAGAUAUAUUUGUAAUCCCAGCAGGUUAUCCAGUUGUGGUCAACGCUACCUCAGAUCUGAAUUUCUUUGCUUUUGGUAUCAAUGCCGAGAACAACCAGAGGAACUUCCUUGCAGGUACAUAUUUUGUAUAUCACGAUCAAAUAGAACAUGCUGUUGAAGUGUUGUUACUUUUUUUGUUUUAUUAAUUACAUGUGAAACAUAGCUGACUGAGCUAUUUCUAAUCCUUUGGUGAUUGAAAAUUUGAAGGUUCGAAAGACAAUGUGAUAAGCCAGAUACCUAGUCAAGUGCAGGAGCUUGCGUUCCCUGGGUCUGCAAAAGAUAUUGAGAACCUAAUAAAGAGCCAAAGUGAGUCCUACUUUGUGGAUGCUCAGCCUCAGCAGAAAGAGGAGGGGAACAAGGGAAGAAAGGGUCCUUUGUCUUCAAUUUUGAGGGCUUUUUACUGAAUAAGUAUGUAGUACUAAAAUGUAUGCUGUAAUAGCUCAUAGUGAGCGAGGAAAGUAUCGGGCUAUUUAACUAUGACUUGAGCUCCAUCUAUGAAUAAAUAAAUCAGCAUAUGAUGCUUUUGUUUUGUGUACUUCAACUGUCUGCUUAGCUAAUUUGAUAUGGUUGGCACUUGGCACGUAUAAAUAUGCUGAAGUAAUUUACUCUGAAGCUAAAUUAACUAGAUUAGAUGAGUGUAUUAUAUACAAAAGGCAUUAAAUCAGAUACAUCUUAGACAAAUUGUCACGGUCUACCAGAAAAGAAAUUGCAUUUGUUUUUGGGUCUUUCAGACUGACAAGAUCUGAAGUCUAAACAAUUCUAAGAGGUAUCAUGUAGCAAUGUCCUGCCACAAUAUUGAAUUCAAACAGAGUGAAUGAGAGGAAAGAUCCUUAAGAUCAAUUGAUCAUUGUAAAAUGAUCGUUUAUUCCAAAGUUUCAAUGAAUGAGUACACAUCACGACUUUAUAUAUAGUGUAUUGAAUCAGACGAAUUAAAAUUACUAACAUAAAUCAUUGGGUGGUUAAUAAACAGAACGAGCUUGAAUUGCUUAUUGCUUUUAGUGGCAAACAGUAUUUUUGCUUUUUGCUUAAAAUUUAAGUGCUGUGCCAGAAGGGUGAAAGUCCAAAAAAACCCUACAUAAAGAACAAUGCAAGAAAGAAGCACAGUACCAAGAAAGAUACAAUAGAGCAGAAUUAGUUAUUAAGAUAAAUUUAGUGCUUUUAACUAGAAUAACUAGUUUUGUUGAUCUAGUAAUUUAGUUAAUUAGUCUUAUAAAAAGGAUAUUAUGGAGACCAAUCAUCUAUAACAAUGAUUAUUCUUUAAACAUCAAAUUAGCCAUUAUACUUCAAUACUGUUGGCAAAUGAAGAAUUUUAAAAAUCAGGAACCAAAAAAGUUUUCAUUCAUACAGCAGAACACAUUGUUUCUGAUACAUAUAUUUGCUUACAUAAACAUAAGAGUAAGUACAACAGGCUUCUACUAUCUAACAAGUUAACCAGCCAGUUACCCAACUUAGUUAAAAAGCUUAACACAUUGUACUUUUGUCUGAAAACACAUUAAUUACUACAUAAAUUAAAGAAUGAAGUACAAUUACAGAUUGCAAUAACUGUUGGACAUUAGAAAAUUCAGUAACAUUAACAUUCCUCCGUGAAAUUUUGAAUGAACACUCCAAACAAGUGUCUAAGUCUUGGGAAGAGCUUUAGUCAAUAUAUGGUCUUCAUACCACGAACCAAUUGGGGAUAACUAAUCCUAAAUACAAGUCUUCUACUCCUAGAACACCGAAUGUUCUUUAACAAAAACACUUCACUUUACAGCCAAUAACUUUUCUUUUUGUUUGAGUUUUCUGUGUCAAUUCGUACGAAUUAAACUAUUAGCUUCAAGUAACAUGCUAAAACAGUGUAGGAAAACAAUAAACUAUUCCUUUUGCACAAAUCUAUGGUUGGGUGCUAUGGUUCUUAAUUACCAAUGCAACUAAACUUUUUUUUUUUUUUUAAUUAUAGCUUGCCUCCAUAACUCCUUUAAUUUGCAACUUAUUAAUUAGUUUGACCGUGCAGAUCAAUUACUUGUCUUUCCUCCGCCAUAGUAAUUACUAUCUCACUCCGUGUGUAUAACUAUAACUAUAAAUACCCCUAAUCUCACUCCUUGUUGUUUCAUCAUCGAUCGAGAAGUGUAAUGACCUAAGCAAUAUUCCCUACAAUACAACAAUACUACACUAUAUUAUACUAUGAUGAGAGCGCGGUAUCCGUUGUUGCUGUUGCUGGGAAUUGUUUUCCUGGCAUCAGUUUCUGUCUUAUUUGGCAUUAUACAGAAGCAGCAAUGCCUACAGAGUUGCGAGAUCGAGCGAGCAGGAUCCGUACAGGCUGCAACAAUGUAAGAUUCGUUGCAAGCUUGUUUCCUGAGCGUGAGGAGCAACAAGAAGAAAAAGAAGAAAGAGAACAUCAACGAGCACAACCCCAACCACCACACUAGGAGAGGGGACCCCAUGAGGGUAAGAAGGCGGAAAAGGAACAAGACGACCGUGAGCAACCUCGUCCGUUUCCACGUCCUAAUCACAAAUAGCACAAACAGCACAAACGGCCUCAUGGAAAUCCUGAAGAAUGUGAAGGUUCGGAUGAGUCAGUCACAAAAACGAAACAACCUUUAUCACUUCAGCUCUAACAGCUUCGACACUCUCUUCAAGAACCAAUAUGGUCACAUUCGUCUCUUCCAGAGGUUCAACCAACGUUCUCCACAACUUGAGAAUCUUCGAGACUACCACGUUGUGGAGUUCAAGUUCAACCCCAACGCCCUCUUUCUCCCCCACCAUGCUGAUUCUGAAUUCCUCUUGGUUCUCAUUAGCCGUAGUUAAUUACUACUAAUUCAACAUCACCACAUUUGCUUCUGCUUGUAUAAAUAAUAAUGGUAAUGAAUAAUUUGUUUGGUUGUUAAUUACAAGGAGAGGCUUCAUCCUGGCGAUGCCCUGAGAAUCCCUGCUGGAACCACUUACUAUUUGGUUAACCCUGACUACAAGGAAACAUUCCCGAGUAGUCACACUCGCCAUACCCCUUAACAAACCUGGAAGAUUUCAGGUACUGCCUUUUCUAAUUCAUAACUAAUUAAUUAUUCUUUUAAUUUGUUUCCAGUUGUGAAGAUCAUCAAUCUUUGUCUUUUCCGUGUAGAGUUUCUUCCUAUCCAGCAAUCCUACUUGCAAGGGUUCAGCGAGAAUAUUCUGGAGGCCUCCUUCAACGUAAGCAAGCAACACACCAUCUAAUUUGCAUUUCCAUUUAGUGGUAUGUCUAAAUGACACACUAACUAAAUAUUAUCAUUAGUUAUACUUGCUUGAUUUUAUAGACCGAAUUCGAGGAGAUAAACAGGGUUCUGUUGGGAGAGGAGGGGCAACAACAAGGCGUGCAGAGGCUGCAAGAGAGAGUGAUGGUGGAACUGUCAAAGGAACAGAUUCAGGAACUUAGCAGACAUGCCAAAUCUAGUUCAAGAAAAACCAUUACCUCCAAAAACGAACCAUUCAACUUGAGAAGCCGCAAACCUAUCUAUUCCAACAAGUUUGGUAAGUUCCAUGAGAUAACCCCCUAAAAAAAACCACAGCUUCGGGACUUGGAUAUCUUCUUAGUUAGAGAACCCAAUUAUUGAGGCUUUAAAUAAUGAUUUACUUUUUUUGUUAACAAAAAUAUAAGGAGCUCUUCUUCUACCACACUUCAAUUCAAAGGCCAUAGUGAUACUAGUGAUUAAUGAAGGAGAAGCAAACAUUGAACUUGUGAGUCUAAGAGAACAACAACAGGAAGAGGAACCUUUGGAAGUGCAAAGGUACAGAGUUGAAUUGUUUGAAGACGAUAUAUAUAUUUGUAAUCCCAGCAGCUUAUCCAUUUGUCGUCAAAUCUCAAUUUCCUUGCUUUUGGUAUUAAUGCCGAGAACAACCAGAGAAACUUCCCUGCAGGUAUGUAUCAAAAUCAAAUAAAAUAUACUGUUGUUACUUUUUUGUUUUUAUUGCUGUGAGAGUGGAAUGUAUCGGCCAUGUAACUAUAAUAAUUUGAGCCCCACCCUUGCUUCUACUAUGAAUAAAUAAAUCGAGCAUACGAUGCUUGUGUUUUGUGUCCUUCAACUGUAUAAUUUUAUAUGGUUGGCACGAAUCAAUAUGUUAAAGUAAUUUACUUUGAAUCUAAAUUAUCUGAAUUAUGACGUGUAUUAAAUGAAAAAAAGACAUUAAAUUAGAUACAUCUUCGACAAAGUGUUACGGUCUACCAGAAAAGCUAUUGACUUUGUUUUCAAGUCUGCCAGACGACUGAAAAGAUGUUUGAAAGCCACAUAUACAACAAAUACAUAAAACGCAGGCAAGAAGCAAUAUUCAAAACAUCACUCAUUCAGAGGGCUCCCUUUGAUUGUGAUAAAAUAAAUUGGAAAAUUGUUAUUGGUGGAAGAGAAUUAGAAAGUUGUUUGGGGAGCGCACCCUGGAUGACCAUUGACCCGGCCAAUCAUCCUCCGCUACUGCGGCACCGCCUCCAUGAUCCUCGCCGAGUUAAUGGGCUCCAUCAUCACCUCAGCGUCGCCCUCUGCAUCUCCGAUUGCCUCCGCUGUCUCCUCCUCCCCCCAAACUCAAACUAGCGAAGGAAAGAAGUCCAUGAAGCGCAAAGUUGGAUUAGAUCACCAAGUUCAAUUUGGCAAUCACCUUGUCCUUCGAGGAUCAACAAUGUGCCCUUGAAUUCGAAGCAAUGUGGAAUUCGAACAAGUGAUCCAUCCCUAUCCUAUUAGCGUCAGUCUAAUUCCACUCAUAUUCUUCCAUUAUUACAGCUAUAACGUUUUUUCAGAAUAUAUUAAUGUGAUUACACAUUCUUUUAGGAUUGAAUUACUACUACAACAGCUUCUUAAAAAUAAAGAGAAAUAAAAAGCAAUAUUAAUUAUUUCAUAGGAUUUUAUAUUUAUAAAUCUAUACGCAGGAAAGAUUAAAAAAAAGUAUGCAAUAAAGUUAUAAAAUAUAAAAAUUACAUUCUAAACUUUGAUUAAAACUAUUGAAAUAAUGUAUAAGAUUAUUGAAAAUAUUAAAAACAUAUUUCAGAGGUGUUGAAAAUAUUUAAUAUUAAAAUGUUAUUGAAAAUAUUAAAAACAUAUAAUAUAUUAAAAUAUAUUUUUAUUUGUUGAACUUACAAUAUUUUAUUAAAAAUAGCUUUUAUGAUAUUUCGAUUCUGAAAUAUUGAAAAUAUUUAUAAUAAAAUAUAAAAAAAUGAUUUUUAAAAAAUAAAAAUAAAAUAUUUUAAAAAAAUAUUAAAAUCACAUAUUUUGAAAAAUAUAUAAGUAAAAAAUUAAGAUAAUGUAUUUUUUUAAAUAGCUUUAUAAUAUUUUGAUUAAAAAAGUAUAGACAAAUAUCAAAAUAUAGCAGUAAAUUCUUAAAAUAUAUAUAGUAAAUUUAAAUUAUGUAAACUUAAAAAAUAAAAUAAAAAUAACAUCAAAACAUUUAAAAAUAUAAAUUAAUUCAAAUAUAUUGAAACUAAAAUUUAUAGGUAAAUUAUAUUAUGCCUAAAAAGUGAGUUAUUCUAAUAUUAUUAUAUUUGUAAAAUUAUGAAAAUAAAAUUGAAAAGUAAAAGAAGGAAAAACAACACCUCUCUCUGAUAUAACGACAACAUUAACAAGUGGAGUGGUGCGGAAAGUGUAUUCUUCCUUUGAAGAGAGAUCCUACGAGUAGCUAUGGAACUUUAGUUUUUCCAAUGCCAUCUGCACCAAUUUCAAACCAUAUAUAGAUGGAGGAUAACACUGCAAUAUGCAACAAACUAUGAGUACUUGAUCAUGGUAUUAAUUAACACAUGCUUCUACAUUCAAACAAGUAUAAUAAUGAACACAUCACUGAAACUCUCACAUAUACAACUAUACAUAAAGCACUGACAAAGAAAUAAUUUAACAAAUCAAAAGCAAUAAAAAGAAAUAACACAAAACAAAAAUACAAGAAACAAUAUUCAAAAAGCAUUAAUUAAACAUCCGAGGCCGCAUUGACAAUUUCCCUGACAUCAAAUUGAGACAACACCGAGCAAGGUAAAAGAGCUACUCACAAGAUGCUAUGUUUGGUUAAAAAAACACUAAUUGUGUUUGGUUAUCGUUCAUCACACACCUAAAAGAGAUAGAUUUGCACAUAAUAAUAACCUGAUUGAAUUAAAAUGUUGUCAAUGAUUUUUCAACCAUCUAAACAACCAAUUUGAAAUCCUUUACAGUCAAUACUUAAAUGUUGUACAGUAAGAAUGGUAUUUGGGCAAUGAUACAUUAAACCUAAAACAUUUUUUUAAAGGAAAAUAUCAACCAAUUUGAAAUCCUCUACAUGCAGUCAAUACUUAAAUUUUAACAUUGGUAACUACCCAACAAUAUAUAAACCUAAAACAAUCAUAUUACAGUCAAAUAUCAAUUUUAUAGAUCAACAUCAAUUCCAAAUAUAAUACCUACGAUAAAAGAAAAUAUGUGCUAAUUUAAUACGUAGUACUAUUUAAAUAAUUUUAAAGUAAAUUUAAUAAUUUUUAAUAUGUAUAUCCAGGUGCAAAUUUUAGAUAAAUGCUUUCUAGCUUUUAAUUAUAAUUACUAAAUUUUUUUAUAUCUAUUCAUUUUACAUCUUUCAUCCAUUAGACAAACCCAUUUCAUAAACUUCUCUUAAUUAUGUUAUAAUUGUUAUUCUUUAAUAAUGAAUGAUUGUUCUUACAUGGUACAAUUGUAUGAGGGAAUUUGAUCAAUAUAGGUUAUUUUUUAAAAUUAAAUAUCAUUUUAGGGUGAUUUUUAAACAAUUUACAAGACUGAAUAAUUUUUAAGUGGUGUCACUAAAUCAUUCACAUACCUAAAUUGGUGACACUUCCUUAAAAUAACACCACCCGGAGAAACUGAUGAAUUGGCGUUGCCAAUUUUCUACGUAAGGAUCAUCUAGGCUGAUAAAUUGUUUAAAGAACACCUUGAAGUGGUAUUUUAAAAAGUUUUAACAAAUAACCUAUAUUAAUCAAAUUGGCCUUGUAUGAUGUCCACUCGAUGUUUUCGUUCUUGUUUUGAUAGGCACCCAUUACUUAUCUAUAUAUCCUCCGGCAUAUAUAGUUAUAUGGUUGUGUACGUAUUUUUGUUUUAUUGAUGGUACCGGAUGGAGUAGCAUGCAUAAGAGUAUACAGUCUCUUUGGAUAUAUAAUGCAUGCGAAGCCGAGAACAGAGACCGAUGUAAAGAGCAAAACGUUAAGUAUCCUUUCCAAAACCAAUUGUCUAAGUGUUGGAUUACAAGUAGGAGUUAAAGUUUCAUAUCGGAUAAAAAUAAAAAAGUUGAGUACCAUUUAAAUAAGAAGAAGACCCAUAAACUUAUGUCUCAAGAUUUUGGGUUAAAAUGUAGUAUUAAGUUCUCUUAUAUGGUAGCUAACUACUAUUCUGAGAGAAUUUGUCGGUCAAAUUUUUUUUGUACGAUAUCAGCCAAAAGUAUUUUUUACCGAUAUCGGCUAAGAUUUUUUUAGAUGAUGUUGGUUAAAGUUAUUUUCUCACUGACGCCAAUCAUGAGAAUUUUUUGCUGACGUUGGCCAAGGAAUUUUUGGUCGUUGUCAUCACGGUUUUUUCAAUUGAUGUUGACCAAUGGUUUUUUUGUCGACAUCGGCUAGAUUUUUUUUAUUGACAUCGGUCAUGACUAACUCUUAAGUAUACACCUGCUAUGGUUUUUCAAUCGACAUCAACUUGGUUUUUCCAGCCAAUAUCAGCCAAAGCUAUUUUUUAACCAAUAUCAGCUAGGGUUAUUUUUCAAUUGAUAUUAACUAGGGUGUUUUAGCUGAUGUCAACUAGAUUUUCUUAACCGAUGUCCGUUAGGAUUUUUUUGCUGACAUCAACUAGGGUUUUCUGAGUGACAUCAGUCAGAGCUAUUUCUUAACCACAUUAGUUAGGUUUUUUAGUUGAUGUUGGUUAGGAUUUUUUCUACUAACAUUAGCUAGGUAUUUUUGACUGACAUCGGACAUGACUAUUUUUAGUUGAAAUCAAUUAGGUUCUUACAAUCGACAUCAGUUAGAGCUAUUUUUUAGCCAACAUCAGUCAAGGCUAUUUUACAGCUAAUGUUGGGUAGGUUUUUUGUUUGAUAUUGGUCAGGGCUAUUUUUAGCCAACUUCGACAAAGGAUUUUUCGAUUAAUGUUGACCAAUGAUGUUUUUCGGCCGACAUUGAGUAGGUUUUAUUGGUCAGCAUCGACCAAGUUAUUUUUUAGCUGAUAUUGGAUAGAUUUUUUUGUCAACGCCUGCUAGGAUUUUUUAGGCCGAUGUUGACCAAAAAUAGUCUUGGUCAAUAUUGUUCAAAAAGAUUCUAACCGGUGUCGACCAAACAAACCUUAGCAGACGUUAGUCAAAAAAACCUAGCUAACAUCGGCUGAAAAAUAAACUCAACCAACGCUAGUCGAAAAAUAGCUCUGACUAACGUCAGCUGAAAAAUAUUUUCGGUAUAUUUUGACAAAAAAAAAACCCUAUUUGAUGUCGAUCGAAAAAUAGUCAUGGUUAAUGUUGGUUUAAAAACACCACUGCUUGUGAUCAGACAAAACAACCAUAGUUAAAAUUAUCAAUAUUUUGUAUUUUUAAAUUAUUAAAAAUUGAAAAAUAUUUUUUAAUUAAUAUUUCAAAAUUACAUUGUGUUUGUUUUCUAUAAAAUUUAAUAUUAAAAUUUCAUCUAUUUAAAAUAUAAAAUUAAAAUUUUACAUAUGAAGAAAAAUGAAUUAUCCUAUUCAAAUAAAGAAUUUAAAAUUGAAAAAAUUUAAAUUAAUUUAUUUAAAUAAAACUUUUAAAAAAUGAAAGAAAUUAAAAUUAAAACAAUUCAAAUUCUAUAAACAUUUCAAAAUUGCUUAUAGAGACACAAGAUUACUAUCUACCAGAAAAGCAAUCAACUUUGUUUUCAAUUCUUCAACUGCUCAAUUCUGUGCUUAAUUACUUUGAUACGCAUGCUGGUUGGCACGGAAUUCAAUUAAAAAAUGUUUUUUUAUUACAAUUAAAUUAAUACGAAAAUUUUAUGAGAACAAAAUUAAUAUCUUUUAAAAUUCUACAAAAUAUCAAAUAUAUUUUAUUCAUAAAUAUUUCACCAUGUUUGUAAUUAAACACGAAAAUUUGAACUUUAAUUAAAUAACAUGCUAUCACUUGCAGUUGGGAAAAUAAUCAACUAAUUACGUUUAUAAAAUUCUAGAUUGAGUCCUCCUUGGUUCUUACCAAGUCAGGUAAACUUGUUUUCUCCUUACUUAGAUCCGGCACGGGCUUAAAAAGUAAAGUAUAACAUGAAUCAAGAUAAAUCUCUUGCGGCAAAUUAAGUUAAGAUACUUUAAAUUAGUGAUAAUUUUUUUUUAAAAUAUUUGAAAAAUAGAUCACUCGUACAAUCAAGAAUGUGGAUCUAUUAUUGAGAGAAUUGAAUCAUGACUUAGUGAUGGUGAAGGUCUGAGUAGUUUGCACAAAUUUUUAAGUUCUAAAUUUUUUUAUCAUCAUUGUAAAAACAAUCAUCAUUGAGAAAAUUAAAAGUUUUAGAUGAAAAGCGUAAUUAAAAUUUUAAUAAUUUAUUUUUUUAAGAAAAAUGAAGAGAUUCAUAAUUGGGUUAUCCAUUUAAAUAUCAAAUGAUAAUGAACAACAUUUUACUUUAAGAGGGGGCGGUGCCUGCAGAUGUCCUUGGACUUGCCCCUGCUCUGGCUGCCGACCACCGCAACCUGAGGGAGGUCGAUGGCGGAGCGGCUCCCCUCGCGGCUGAAGAUGUCCUGGAGUGUAGAGAGAGAAGAAGCGUCGAGAAAAAGUGAGCAACGUAAGGUCUCAAUGUGAACAUCAAGGGGUAUGUAAGAUAGAGUAAAUCUAACAAACCAAUUUUUAUUGUUUUUGAAAUAAGGGUAAAACAACUUUAAAUCUAACAACACAAAUUUUGUCAAACACGUUUUUACAGACUGACUGACAACCACCCAUAGGUACUGUUAAGCAACCGCAUAACACCCUACUUCACUUCACUUCACUUAUCCACUAACUGUUCAAGAUCGCCGCAUCCGUACGUAUAUAUCUAAAACUAAAAGGACUGGACCCCAAAUGCCAUGCACAACAACACGUAUUCACCAAUGUGUCCACCUUGCCGCUCAAAUCGCUCAUAACCUCAUCCCACGAGUCCAAUGCGAACCAACCCUAAAUAAAUAACUAAAAUAAGACCCGUAUUCUUUUCAACCACCCCAAUUUUGUUCAACAAUUCAACACACGUCACUCUGCAUGCCCAUCCUGUGGCCAAAUUUUCAUGCAAGUUAACCAAAGUCGCUUUUUCUCUUCUGUAACUAUAUAUAUAUAUAUAUAUAUAUAUAUAUAUAUAGCUCUAAUCUCACACCGUGUUUUCAUCAUCACACAAGAGCGAGCGCAACAUUAUUCGAGUACGUAGCUUAACAAUAUUUUAAGCAAUUGCUGCUACAAUGAUAGCGCGGUUUCCUUUGUUGCCGUUGCUGUUGCUGGGAAUUGUUUUUCUAGCAUCAGUUUCUGUCUCAUUACAGGUGAAGCCGCCGAGUCACCACGAGUGCCUCCAGAGUUGCGAGAGUGAAACGGAUCCAUACAAGCGGAAAGCAUGCAAGCUUAGUUGCAAGUUCGUUCCUGAGCACGGGGAGCAACAACAUGAAGAAGAAGAAAGAGAAAGAGAACAUCCACAACCACACCCACCACACGAGGAGAGAGGACGUAGAGAAAGAGGACGCCAGGAAGGUGAGAAGGAGGAAAAGGAACAAGACGAGCGUGAAUUACAACCACGUCCAUUUCCACGACCAGAGGAGCAU
rnacentral:lncRNA from 1 species